GAAGUCUCCCCCCUGGCACAUGAAUCCGGGGAUCACACGGUGGAAGGACGAGCCCUUGUAGUGGAGUGGCUUGCCGGACUUGCCGAUGCCUUUCUCGCCGGUGCAGAGGGCGCGGAAGUUCUCGGCGGUUCGGGGGGUGACGUCGGCGAAGAGUUCCAUCACGAUCCGGCCGGCCGGCUGACCGCCGACGGUCACGUCGAAGAACACUUUGGGGUUUGCCAUUUUUGAUUGGUUGAUUGGUUGAUUGGAGAGAAAAAAACAAACUAAACACGGAUUUCUGAUUUGGUGAUUUUUGGGCGAAUUUUUUAGGGUUUUGGGGCAGUUAAAUACGGGAUGGAGCGGUGGGGGAGUAACAAAAAGUGAAUCUGGACCGUUGAGGGGGAACACGUGGAGGGAUAUCGUGGGGCGGGGUGGAAGUAACUGAGGUUGAGUUAAGGUUGACUAGAGUUAUGUGAGGGAUCCCAGGCUGAGGUAAGGGUGUUCGCGGAUCGGAUUUUACGGAUUAGACAUCAAUUCAUAUCCGAUCAACAAUGUUACGGAUUAUAAUUUUUCAAUUCAAUCAAAUUCACGGAUUGAUUAAACUCAAUUCAAAUCCAAUCCAUACAUUUGCGAAUCGGAUGUAGAUUUGACUCAAUCCAUAUCCAAUCUAUACGUCUGCGGAUCAGAUGCGGAUUUAAUUUAAUUCAUAUCUAAUCUACCUUUAGCACAUUAGUUUUCGAAUUUAAAAUUUUUAGUUCUCCUCAAUCCAUGAACUAAUGAAAUUAAAAAAAAAUCUAAUAUAAAAUAAUUUUACUACCAAUUAAAUUUAAAAUUAAAUAAAAUUUAAACAAAUUAAUUGUUUAAAUAAAACUAAAAUAAUACGUUUAAAGUUUCAAAAUAUAAUACACUAAGAUUAAUUAUUCAAAUAAAGUUACAAUAAUACAUUAAUAUAACACCGAAAUUAAUUGUUCAAAUAAAGCCACAAUUAAUUGAAAUGGCGAAAUUUUUUAAACCAAACACAGUUUGAUCCUUCACCAUGGCUAUUGCACUUGUCAAAAAGUGGUGAUUACAGAGCCGUCAAUGAUGGGAACCAGGAGAAGUACGGGUGGCGAUCUUGAAGGUUGUGAUAGUGCAAUUGUUUGGCUGGAACCAGUGAUUGGGAAGUGGCUCGAUGGACUCAGGGAAGAAGAUGGCUUGCUCUCGCUAGAAUCACGCGAUUGACGUCCUUCAAAUUGGUGUCGAUAGUGUAUCGAACCAGUAUUAGGUGUUGCUAGUGCGUGUGACGACGGGAAAGUUUAAGGUUUUUUGUUUGCAAAUUAUUGGUGACUGGGCGCAAUGCGAAUCCCACAAUGAAACUUUCAAACCCACACUUAAUUUGUAGUUUCAACUUCCUAGGAAAGUUCUAAAUAGAUUUAACACAAACAAAAUCUUGACCCAAUGCAUAAGAAAACAUGAACCAAAGGUAUAGAGAAUGAUAUUGACGCCACACUUAAGAAAUAGAUGAGAAGGUGAGUGAUAAGUCUAAAUUUGGAACGCCAUAAGAAUGCAAAUUCUUGAUAAGUUCACUAGUUCUCAAAAGAACGAAAGAAAGAAUAAUCUUUCAAAUUCAACUAACAUUAAUCUCUAAUUCCAUUACAUAGUAAGGUUGCUGAGUUUAAAUAAUCUAAAAGAAACCCAAGAUCCUAAAAAUACAAAUGGAAACAUUGGAACAACCCUCCAAGUAAGUUUGUCAAAGGAUGCUUCAAAAGUCUUCACCAACCCACCAUAAUUAAUGUUAUCUUUGACAAAUUUAAUGCUAGCCUACUAUAAUUAAUGCUAUCAUUGACAAAUUUAAUGUUAGCCCACCAUCAUUUAUGGUAGACUUACCUUACACAUUGACAAACUUUUGACAAACUUGAAACAAAAUAAAGAAAUGUAGUUGAAAAACAAAUGAGUCGUUGAAAAUCUCAAGUCUGAAUAAACUUUAAUGAAUUUGUCAUAACUCCUUUUAGAGAACUCCAAAUCUAGCUCUGUAAAAUGCAUUGGAAAGCUAACUUAAUUAUUUUUCCAAUGGUAUAUAGCUUGCACAUUACUUCUGCCUCAAUCAAUACCAGUUUUAUUCCGAAUUUGACCUUUUUGCAUUUGAUACAAAUUGUGUAUUUGGCUGCCCAAUAACUUGAAUAAUGCCUACAAUGCCUUGUCUUCUCUUCAAGCCCAAUUCAUAAUGUCUUGCAUCUUGAAUUUUAUUUUCAAUCCAUAUUUUCUCAAUUAAUCCAUUUAAAGCGAUUUGCAUCUUUUUGGCUCUAACCCUUGUAAUUGGGUCUCCAUGAAUGUGCAAAUGAUCACUUGAAACUUUAAUGGUAUUCCCUUGAUGGUUCUCAUCAUGGCGUUAUGUUACUUUACUUUUGGGUGAUUUUACAAAUUGUUGGUAACUUGCCAUUAUGUUACUUUGAUGUUGCUAGUGCGUGUGACUUUGCUUUUUAUUUUGUUUUCUAAUUUUUAUAAGUUAUAUUGUAUAUUUGAUUUUUUAAUUAUUUUUUAUUUAAUAUUAUUAUUGGGUAAUGGCUAAGAUAUGUUAUAGUGCUUAUGUAACUAUGUAAUGUUACAUUUAUAAUACUAUUUAAUUAAAUUUAUAAUAAUUUUUUAACUAAAUAUAUAUAUAGAUAUAUAUAUAUAUAUAUAUAUAUGACAAUUAUUUACAAUGCUUUAUUGGAGAGAAACUUCCAAAGCAGUCGUCUGGUAUAGAAGUACUAGGCUCUGAUACCAGAAGGAAAUAGGAUCGAAGGAUGAAUGUGUUUUAAGAAAGAAAUUAUAAACAAAGAAAUCAAUUCGCGAUUGAGUAGAUUUUAUUAAGAGUACGUGGCGUUGUGACCAUAUCGAUGCAGAACUUAAUCUGCCUUCGUGACCAGAUCUGACUUAGAACAUAUCAAUAUCACGCACGUUCUGUUUUCCAGCCGAUAUACUAUGUUUCUUUACCAGAUAUGAAUUAGGUUCUUUAAACAAGCCUAGCAACAGAUCUAGAGGCUCAUAUAUCGUACUAGAUCUGGAUCCCAGAAAAAGCACUCUGAAUGAAUGGAGGGAGAAGAGAAGAUACAACUGAGGAUAGAGAUCAGGUCUCGUUGCCUAAGAGGAACGUAGCAGUUUUAUGGCAGAGCUGAUACAGAUCAGUCUGCAAAAUAUGCAUAAAAUUUAAAUUACUGAAAUUUAAAUGCUUUAAAGUAAAUUGCGGAAAUUAAAAUGCAGAACUUUAAAUUUACAUCAAAGCUUUAAAUAAAAAUUUAAAGAACGAAUUAAACAUACAUGUUUGCUUUAUUUCUUUGAACUCAACCCUUUGUACAAUUUUACAGAUCUCUUCAAGAAGAAAGAUUGAAAGAUGGGAAGAUUACAAGACAGGAAAGGUUUCCUUGAUGUCUUGAUCCAGACUUCCCAAGAGAGAGAGAGAGAGAGAGAGAGAGGGAGAAGAAGAAGAGAAAGAAAAUUAGAUCUGAAAAAUCUGAGGAGUCUAAGUCUUCCUCUCGAUUUAAAUACAAAAAUAUUUUUUUUUAACUGUAGCGGGCCUGUAGCUUCUCUACUGUAGCGGAGCUUGCUUGAAACAGUAAUCUUUGGAACAUACAGUAUUUUCUAAUUUUAAUUCGGGUGAAGAGACAUGUGCGCUCUCACUUGUGUCCAGGGGACCACCCGAGGGUACAAACAAACGAACAAAAAUGGAAAAUACAAGGAAAAAUACUGGAAUACUCUUUUUUUUUCUUUUUUUUUUAAACAUACAUAACAAUUAUUUACAAUGCUUUAUUAGAGAGAAAAUUCCAAAGCAGUCGUCUUCAUUUUCAUCUCCAAGAGAGAUAAAGGGCUCUUCAUCUUGAUCAUCAUCCGAGGAGUCUGCAACUGAGGAUUUUGAUCUUGAAGUGAGGAGCUGCUCCAUGACUUUAAAAUAUUCUUCUUCAGAUUUGGCACUGGCCAACAGAGAUUGGGCUUUGGAUUUUUGGGUUAGAAAGGUCUCUUGGGCUUUCACGGCUUUAAUAGAUGGGGGUAAGAAGCCUUUAGAACAGAGCCAAUUGCGGAUCAGGGUGUCUGUCAAUUUAGACUGUUCGUCAAACUUUGACCACCAUUUUACUUUGAAUGUCCUUUGUAAGAUGAGCUGGGCAUCUUGGGUAUGAAAUCUGAGGUUCCACAUCCAUACCCAUGGAAGGAAGAAAUUUGUACAGAAACAGAGAAAUGGGGGAACCCUUUUCUCAGAUUCAGAAGGAAUAUAGUGGGCUUUAAAGAGGUUUAAACAAUGGGUGGCAUUUGGAGUUAGGAUCUGAGGGAUUGGGCCAAAAGAAUUCCACCAAUGUUGAAACCAGUUUGGGAGGCUUUGAACAAUUAUUUUUGAAUUGAAGAAAAAUAACCAAGAGUGAGAUUUUUUGGGGUUUUGGAUAAAAAAUGUGUUAUACCAGGCUUGUUGGUAAUCCCAAUAGGAAUAAGUCAAACAAUGUGGUAAACACAUUUGAAAAUUUGGAGGGAAGGUUUUUUGUUUGUGAAGUUGAUCACCCCACUGGUUUGGGCUCAAGACUUUUAGGAUAGUAGCCAUGGAAUAGGCUGGCUCUGAAUGGGUUUCACUAAGAAAGAAAUGUUUGAAUUUUACUGACUCAGUGGCUUCUAAAAUGCUUUGAUAGUAAGACUGGGGUUUUGUAAGAUCCCAUGGUUUGAAAAACCAACCUUUAGGGAAAAACUUUGAAAUAGAUUGAAAAGGAUCAGCAUGGUAAAAACCAUCUUCUAUAGAUAAAAUAUUUUGGAAGUGGGUUUUAUCAAACCAAUCAGAAGAUUUCUUUGAAAGUGUUGGCUGGGAAAGCACAAUUUGAGAAGAUGAACUUUCACCAGAGACAACUACAUUUUGAGAAGAGGGUUUUGAAAUCUCUUUGGAAACAAGUUUUUCUUUUUCAAUCUCUUCUUUAGGAGAAAUUUGGCUUUGGGAAAAGCUUUGUAGAGCGAGCAUAAGCUCAGUGGAUUUUGUAAUGGAACUCAUCCAUUGUUUUACUUGGUCAUCAGAGGUAAUUGCUUUGUAUUGGGCUUCUUGUUCUUCAACCAUUUCAAUCCAGGAUUUGAUGGGCAUGGCAGAAGAAAGCAAAUUUUCUUUAGAAGGGGUUGAAUGAGGUUCUUUAGAGGUUGCUUGAGACUCAGAGUCUUUAAGAACAACUUUACCUUUGUCCUUCUUUCUUGGCGGCAUUAUCUGUUUUGGAGAAAUUCUCUGGUUAGAAAAUCAGAGACAUAAUUUUUAUCUCCUUUAAUAAAUUCAAUAUUGAAAUCAAAAACACUUAAAAUGGCUUGCCAUCUUGCAAAAAUUUGUUUUGAAGCAAUAUUUUGAACAUCUUUUUCCAAAACAUGUUUUGCAGCUUUGCAAUCAAUUCUAAGCAGAAAUUUUUGAUUUAAUAAAUCACUUUGGAAUUUAGAUAUGCAUAAAACAAUAGAAAGAAUUUCUUUUUUUAUAGUAGAAUAAUUUUUCUCGCAAUCAUUCCAAUGUGCAGAAACAUAUUGUAUUAUAUGCUCUUUAUCAUUCUCUUUUUGUUUUAGUAUACCUUCAUAGCCUAAAUCAGAUGCAUCUGUUUCAACUAUUUUAGGUAAUGCAUGAUUUGCCAAGAAUAAACAAGGAAUAUUCUUUACAGAAUUUUUUAUCAAUCGGACAGCUUUGGUGUGUUCAUCUGUCCAUGCAACAUGAUUCUUUUUUAAUAUGUCAUGCAAAGGUUUAGACAUCCGGUUAAUAUUAGGACAGAAAUCAAGAACAUAAUUUAGACUUCCUAAAAAUCUUUGUAGUUGGGUUUUAUCAAGAAUUUUAUCAGGAAAUUUAUCCGCAAACAAAAGUGAUCGUUCAAUAGGGGUGAUAGUUCCUUUAGAAAUAUAGUGACCAAGGAAUCUGACUUUUGUUUGGAACAAUGAAACUUUAGAACUAGAAAGGGCUAGGCCAGCCUUCUUAGUGGCAAAAUAAAAAGUUUUUAAAUGCUUGAAAUGUUGAUCAAUUGUUUGAGAAAAAAUCAACACGUCAUCUAUAUAAACAAUGCAAAACUCAGAAUAAGGGUUAUAGAUGUCAUUCAUGAUUCUUUGAAACUCUGAUGGUGCAUUCUUUAAACCGAAUGGUUUUACAGUCUACUCAUAUUGUCCAAAAGGAACAGUAAAGGCAGUUUUAUAGCGGUCAUUAGGGUGGAUUUGGAUUUGCCAAAAACCCGAUUUCAUGUCAAAUUUUGAAAAAAUAAAAGCUGAACACAAUUUCUGGAGUAAAUCGUUUUUAUUAGGUAUAGGAUAUCUAAUCUAUUUUAAUGCUUUAUUUAAAGGUUUGUAAUUUAUUACAAGUCUUGGUGUUCCUCUUUCUAUUUCGGAGUUUUUAUUAACAUAAAAAGCGGCCCAAGACCAUGGGGAUCUGGACUUUACAAUGAGUCCUUUGGUCUCUAAAUCUUUUAUCUCAUUUUUACAGUGUUGUUCCAAUUCCAUGUUCAUUUGGAUUGGACGAGCUUUAGUGGGUAUUUAUUUUUCAUCAAAAGAAUUGUCAUAGGGCAAAUCUACCAAAUGUUGUUUUCUAUCCCAAAAAGCAAAUGGUAAAUCGGCGCAUAUUUUUUUUUCAAUGAGAUUUUUAAAAUCAGAGAUCUUUCUUUGUAUAAAGUCAUUUUGUAACUGGCUUUCAAUUCUUUGUAGACUUAAGUCCUUUUUUAAACAAAACAAGUCAUUUUGUUUAGAUUUAAGCAUGGCAUUGAUUUGAUUCUGGUAAACAGAACAAGCUUUAACAAUAUUUAGAUUUCUUGUUUUUGGUUUCUCAAUAAAAGGGAAAACAAGCUUUUUGGAUUUUGCUUUAAAACAUAUGCUAUCAUAAUUGACAAUAUAUGAGGUAAUUAAAUUUAUAAAUGAGGUUCCUAAAAUGACUGUAUGGUGUAUGUCAUUUGUAAGAAGAAAAGAAGUUCUGAAUUCAAAACCAUUGUUAUGCACUGAGGCGUCUACUUUUGACUUAAUUUUUAGUUUUGAAUUAUUGGCGGCCGAGAGUCUUUCAUUUGUCUUUUCAUGGAAUUUUUUAGGGACAAUAUCUUCUUUAAUGCAAUUCAAAUCGGCACCAGUGUCAAAGAGAGCAAUGGUGUCAAUUUCAAAAUCUUUAGAAAAAAUUAAAGUGAUUUUCAUCAAAUACUUUCUGGUGGUGAUUUGUUUUAAAACAAACAGGAAAUCAUUAGGUGCAGAUUCAAUGUUUUCAAGGUUUUGUUCAUUGUCACCAUCAGUUUCGGCUUCUUUAUCAGAAUUAUCUUCUAAUUGUUUUUGUAUGAGAAGUUGGAUAGUAUCAGAAUCAUUCUUUUGUUUUUCUUUUAAUUCUUUAAUCUCAAGUUUGAUUUCUUUGAUCUUUUUCUGAAGAUCUUGGAUAUUGGGGACAGUUUUGUUUGUUUUCUUUUUGUCCAAAAUCUCAGUAAGGUCAUAAGAGUUCUUUUUAACAAUUGGAACUUUAGAAGUUUCUGCUUUAUUAGAAUCUAAGGUCUUUAAAAGUUUAUCAAGGUAUUCUUUCUAAAUAUUCGGAUCAGUAAUAUGUUUAACAAGUUCAAGAAAAAUUUCUUGGUCUUUAGUCAAAACAUUGAUUUUCUUUAAAUAGGAAUCUGAAUUGCUGGUGUCGGAGUCACUCAAAGAAACAGAUUCAGAGUCAUUUAACUCAUCAACCUGUAGAGGUUCACUAUCUCCCGUCAUGGAAGACUCAGAGUCAGAAGACUCUAUAAGCAAAGAGGCAACUUUGGAGAGGGUUUCAUCAUCAAGAUCAAGCUCAUGGAGCUUUCUGUUCAUUCUGCAAAACUUUGCAGUAUGGCCUUUCUUUCCACAUUUGUAACAUGUGGCUUCUUUAUAAUUAAACGAGAUUUUUGGUUUGGCUCUAAACUCUUUCUUUUUAGAGAAGUUGGGUUUCUUAUAAGGCUUCAAAGGUUUCUUAUAAGGAAGUUCUCUAAAGUCUUGAAAGGGUUUCUUAUGAAAUCUAGAUUUGUAAUGUUUCUUGUAAGGUUUUGUAGAACACUUACCAUUACAAUCUUUGGAAGUAGAAGUCUUAAAGGGGUUAUAAUUGAAUUGUUUACAGAAACUGCCUAAUUCUUGCUUAGACUUCUUAAGCUCCCAUUUUAGACGUUUCUGUAUCUUCAAAUCUUGACAAAUCUUUAAGCCUUCCUUAUUGACAAAACUAACAAGUUCACCAUAGGUGAGCUCAUCAUAAGGAAUUCGGUUAUCAUAAAGAGCUUUAAUGGAAUUCCUAACCUUUUCUCCUAGUAGGGUAGGUAAACCUGCAAGGAAUUUCUCUUUCCAAGUUAUAAGAUUUGCAUCAUCCCUAAGGAAGAGUCUGGUGAAGAAAGUGGUUUUAUAGCUUUGGAAUUCACUAAGUUUUCUACACCUCAGGUUGUGUAGUAACUCGGCGUUUUUGUCUCUAAGGUGAGAAGGGUCACCUAUGAAAUGGAGGGAUAUAGUUAGAAUCAGGGUAGCUACAUCAUCCUGAAUUGGACUAUUGAACUCAUAAAGAAUAGGGGCAUUAUUCUCAUCAACUUGAAUGGAGUUUAGGAUAUCUAAUUGUUGCUGUUUGGUGAGGAGAUGAUCCCACCAUCCUUUAAGUUGACCAGUAAAACCAGCAACGAGAAUUUCUGCAAUGGCUCUAUCCGAAGUUCCCGUCUAUGUUUUAUAGGCAUUGGCUGCCAUGGUCAUUUGUCGCAACAAUCCUAGGAUGUUGUAUUCAGACAUACCAUCAAUAUUCCACUCAUAGACAGAAGAUGCAUUAAAUCGUGAUUGAUUUAAAGCACUUGGUCUAUUAUCUAUAGCUAGAUCUGGUGGAGUCUUGACAGUAGGUAGGGCUAAAUCCCAAUGGAUUUUGUUAGCAUGAGGAACAAAAGGUUCUUCUUUAAAUGCUUCUAUGUCUGAAGAGAUUGUAGAAACAUCAUCAUGCUCUAGUACACCAAUCUUGCUGGAUUGGGCACUAUCAGGGGCUAUUUGGACCUUAGAAGAAAAAGAAGAAGAUGAAGCUUCUAUUCAAUCUAAUUGGUCUCUAAUGGCUUUAGCAAAAUCUGAUUUUGACUCUUGAACAAGCUUUUGGCUAGUUUUCGAAACCUGGAAAGGUUUGAAAAUAGGUUCCUUAAGCUUUUUGUCAGAAUCCGAUUUUGAUGAAACAGGAGAAACUUUUAUGGUUGGCUUUUGGAACUGGCUUUCUAUCCUAGUCAAUUGUUUUCCUAUAGUAUUUAAGUUAGUAUUACAAAAAUUAUUCUGUUGAAUAAUACUACUUAAAUUCGCAUCAGAAUCAUUUGGUUUUGGGAUUUUGUAAGGUGAGGCUCUAAUCUCAAUAGGAGGUUCACCAUGGUUAAUAGUUAAACUCCUAAGAGGUGGAUGUUCAGAUUCUAUGGUUCUAUUGCUAUCAGAAAGAUUCCACUCAGGGGUUUUCUUCCUAACAGUAAUAGGGUUUGACUCUUUAAAAGGAUAAGAGAUGUUGUUAUUGGAAGAAUAUAUCUCAAACCAAUCAAAAAACAAUAUAUGAAUUUUUUGAGAAUUUACAAAUGCAUAAUAUGUCUCUUGAAUUUCUUUUCUUUUAUUUAGAAAAUGUUUAAAAAACCAGAGUCUUUUUUCUUUAUUAUUAUCUGAAUAAAAGUCAUUGUGAAGAAGAGUUUUAUUCAGCUCAAAGUCUUUCGUUAUGACAUUUAUUACAUUUUCUGUGACAGCAGAAAACGUAGGAGAAGUUGGAGGAGAAGGGUCCUUCUCUUCCUGUCUUUGCUCAUGUUGUUUCGGAAUCACUGGUGCAGUGGCACCUUCAAAAAUCCAUUCAUCUGGAAGAUUGAUAUCUUUCCAUUGUAUUGAUUUUGGAAUGACAGUAUUUGCUUUGGACAGAUCAGUUUGUAAAAGGAGAGUCUCGUCUCUUUUUGACUGGAAUUUAUGUUGCGUGCUAAACGCAGAAAUCAUGGCUUUAUAAGAAAUUUUAAAGAUUAAAGCAACUGGGACAGAUCCUUUUAUCAUGUGAUAAUUAUGGGUCUUGAUUUGUAAAAUCAUACUUUUUAAAAUGUUCUUGUCUUUUAAAGAAAUUGUUAUGUUGGGAUAACAAUUGAAUGAAAUGGGACCUUUACAAAGACUUGAUUCUAUACUACUUAGUAAAGAAUCAUCAAAGGAGAUGAAACGACCAUCUCUCAGGACAACCAGAAUAGACGUAUCAAGACAUUCUUUCGUUAGAGGUUUUAUGCCGACUUGUAUUAGUCCGAUGUGAAUAUAAUUAAAAUUUUUAUCUUUUAAUUUCUUUAAAGACUGUUAUGAAAACAAAUGAAUUGUUUCAAAAGGUUCUGAAAGGGUUAUGUCACGUUCUUCGGUCUUUAUAACAUAAUCAUUUUUUAAAAAAUCAAGAUUUUUUGUUUUGUAAAUCAUUUCUUUAUUCACCUUUGGUAAUUCACAAUUAUCAAUUGCUUUAUUGAAGUCUUCGAUAACAAAUUCUUCAGAAUUCACAACAUUCUUUGAAUCGCUAGUUCUUCCAGAAGAAGAGCUAGAAAAGGACGAUGCUCUACAAAGUAGAGAAUCCAUGAAUCAAAACCUAUGGUCUACUCAAAGACCUGUUGGUAUGGUUACAGGUUUGGUUUUACUGCCCUAAGCGGAAAAUCUUAUCCUAAAGCGGGACUGACUACCAGUAAGGAAUUCACCACACAAACAAGAAUUAAAAUAAAACACAAGUCUUUAGACACAGAGACUCUAAACUAUACAACACUUUCCUCCCCUUGGCUCUGAUACCAGAAGGAAAUAGGAUAAUGGAUGUGUUUCAUAUAUAUAUUGCGGAUUCACGAAUUUUUACAGAUUUGUACCAGUAAAUCCAUAUCCAAUCCAUCGACUGCGGAUUUUUAAAAUUUUAAUCCAUAUCCAAUCCACGGAUCCACGGAUCGAAUUUAUACGGAUCAGACAUAUUGAAUUGAUCGGAUUAGAUUAUGAACACCCUUAAGCUGAGGCUAGGUGUUUUUAGUUUUGGAUAUGUCGUUUUGUCAGUGGGAACGGCGCCAUUUGUUUGGGUUUAAAAUUGAGCAUAUUUAUGAUACUUAGAGGAAUCGUACAAAAAUCUGUUAACAUAUAUGUUUCCAUAAUAUUGAUUUUGAUGAUAACAAACAAGUUUAAGAAUGAUUAAUCUUUUAAGCUCAAAUUAUUUAAUAUUCUUUUUAAAUAAAUCAUUAUUUUCACAUUAUAAAUGUUUUAUAUUUAAUGGAAAAAUGAUUUUAUGAAAUUGAUUGUUUUUAUUCUUUUUAAAUAAAUCAUUAUUUUCACAUUAUAAAUGUUUCAUAUUUAAUGGAAAAAUGAUUUUAUGAAAUUGGUUAUUUUUCAAAGUUUAUGGUUUAAUUGAAAGAAUUUUGAAAACUUUGAAAUAAACAAGUAUUGCUUGAAAUUUUGGAGAAGGACUUAUUUGAAAAGUGUCAUAGUAUUUUGGGCUAUACCAUAAUUUCAGAAAGUUUUGGGAUUAACAAAGCAUUACUUAGAAAUUCUGAAAUUGGACCUAUGUGCAAUGUUUCAUAACAUUUUGGGUCAUACUAUAGUUUUGUAAAGUUUUGGGGUCAAACUGUAAUUUCAGAAAAUUCUUUCAGUGUAGCAAUCACUGUAGCAAACGGCUAACCGUUUAUUUAAAAAUGGCUAACCGUUUAUUUAAAAACGGCUAACCGAUAAUUUCCAGAAAGCAUGUUCUGCAAAGUAUUGUUAAAAUGAUGAUUCUGGAAACUAACGGUGAACCGUUUACUGAAAACGGUUAACCGAUUAUUUUCAAAUUGCUAACCUUGAACCGUUUAGUAAGAACGGUUAAACCAAAUUUAUUUUGCAGGUCUCUGGAAGUUAACGGCGAAAGGGUAAGCCUAAACGACUAACCGUUUAUUUGAAAAUUGGCCCAACGGUAACUUUGACCGGCCUAAACGGUUAACCGUUAAUAGUUAACGAUGAACCGUUUUCGAGCAGACAGUCUAUAACGGCUAGUUUUUCAGCUCCAACUAUAAAUAAGUUCAAUCCAAUUCAAACAAGUAGAAUUCCAACGAUCAUCAUUGAGCAAAAUAUUGAGAAUACAACUUUCAUUGAGCUUUAAAUCUUUGUAUUCAUCUCAUUCAUUCACACAUUGAGCUUUCACUUGUGAUCAAAUACAUUGUAUGAGAGGGAUUCAUUUGUAAUCUUUUUUGUAAAAUCAAGUUAAAAGAUUGUAAGUGUUGGGAUACACUUGGGUUAAGAGAUUGGGGAUAAUCUCUUGUUGUAAAGGUCCAUUGACACCUUGGAAGUCAAUUGUAAGCGUUUGAAGCCUUGGGAGGCUAGCUUAGUGAAAUCCUCAAGCCCGGUGAGCUUGGAGGCGUGGACGUAGGCGGGGAUUGCCGAACCACGUAAAAAUCAUUGUGUUCGUUUUCUCUUCCCUUACUCUUUUAAUAUUGUGUAUGAUUGAAUUUAUUGUUUUCAAUUUGAUUAAGGCAAUAGAUUAAAUUGUUGUGUGGUUUGCUUAGCUUAAAUUUUAAAAUCCCAAUUCACCCCCCUCUUGGGUUGCCUAGUUAGUAUUUCAAAAUCGUCAUACGUAGUUACGUACUAAACUCAAACUGACUGGUCUGAGUAUUUAUUUAAUUUUAAUCAAUUAAAUACACCUGACUGAGUGAGUUUAAAUCUCAUCGGAUGGUGUACAAAUACGAUCUGUCGAAUUCAUAGGAAUUAUUUUAAUCUCCGCCACAAAAAUAAAAAGAAUUACAUUUUUAUUAUUUCUAAAAAAACUUUCAAAUAAUAAUAACGUCCGCAUUAUUGAAUUCCACAAAUCCUGCAAUAUAAGAUGCCCAUUUGAUGUCUAUAUAAUCCUCCAAUUCAAGCUGCCCAUUUGAUGAUUAUAUUUUUUUUUUAUUUUUCUCAUUUUUGUCUUCUUGUUUCCUUAACAAAUAAUAAUAUAUAAAUACUUCAAAAAUACUUCAAAAAUAAACAAGAAUAUAAUGUUAGUCAACAUGGCAGCUUUCACUUUUAGAAAGAAAAAGAAGGAAAACGAAAUUAAAAAGAUUCUGUACUGGACAAACUAUAAUUCCCCAUUCAGAGGUAGUUAAAUUUCAUCCAUACAUUUCAUUAAUAAUAAAUAAAUGAUACAAGAUAAUUUAAAAAUUUAGAAGAAUUUAAGCUAAGAAACCCAAAAUAAAGUUGCUUGGAAUUUAUAACAUCACUUUCCAAAUAAAAAUAAUUGUACAAAUGCACUUAUAUACUUCAAGUUGACAGCUUAUGCAGCAGAAAGGAAUUGAUUAUAUCAUUAUCCUUGCUGAAAAUACGUAGGUAAAGAGAUAGAGAGGUUUUUUUUUUUUUUUUUUGAAUGAGAACUAUUGCUCAUGAUAUUUACAAUCAUAUAAAUAUUGAGACCCGUUUACAUCAAUUUUGAUAUGACACCGCUCAGAUUUUAAACCUUCUCAAAUAUUCGAGGAACAUCAACUCCCAUCCUGAGAGAAAGACUGUCUUCACUCAAGCUCUAGGACUCCAAAAAAAAAAAUUAAAUUAAACUCCUACAAUACGUUUACGGAGGCUCGAACUGCUUCCCUCACAUUUAUGAAUGAGUAGCUCUAGCCACUUGGGCUUAGCCCUAAGCCCAAGUGGUUAGAUAGAGAGGUAUUAGAUGCAAAGCAAAAGUGAUUUUCUUUCUUUCUUUAUCCGUGUUUUGAUGAAAAAAGUGAUUUGAGUGAGUAAUCAUCAUUGUACUAAACAAAUAAUUGAAAGAGUGGCAUACUAAUAAUCUUCACAAGCGCCAUUCAUUGGCUUCUUACUCUUUUUUUUUUUAAGAGAGAAUAUAGUAACAAAUUUAAUAUCACUAUCUUUUUCGUUCUAAACAGGGGUGGCUUUAGGUAUAGGCGAGUAAGACAGUCGCCUAAGGCCUCAUAUUUUAAGAAGGUCUCAUUUUUUUUAAUAUUUUCUUAAUAAUUCUCUAAUUAAUAAAUUUUUUUAAUACAUAUUUUAAGAAUUAAGAGUUAUUUUUGAUUAAAAAAAAUCUAUUUUUGGAAACCUUAAUUUUAAAGAAAUAUAAUUAAUAAUAUUCUUUAACCAUUAGUUGAUUCAUUAUUAUUAUUUCCAAAAAAUUAUUUACCUUUUUAAUUAUUCAAUGUUAGAAUCUUUGAUUUUUAGUAUUUCUUUUAAUUUCUAUUAAAAACCUUAUAAUCUCAAGAAUUAGUAAAUGAAAAAAAUUUCUUAUUCUUUUCUAUACAAAGAAAAUCAUUAUAUUUAUUGGUUCAUGUAAAAUAAUUAGUUUCUUAAAAUAUAAAGUCCAUUUUUGUUUUUGAACAUCAAUUCAUCAUUUCAAAAUUUUGUACUCUAUCAUUUUAAAUAUUCUAUUUGAAAAAAAUAUUGUUUUUAUUUAUUUGUCUGUUUGUUUUUAACGGUUUUAAUGGAAUAAAAAAAAUACCUUCUUGACUAUUUUUUAGGUUUUAUUUUUAAAAUUUUUGAUCUUUUUUUAUUAUUAUUGAAAUUCAAAAAUUAAAGAUGAAAUAAAUUUUAAUUCUUUUUAUUGUCUUUGAGUAUUGAAAUUACAAAAUAAAUAGAGGACUCAUAAGAAAAUUUUGCCUAAAGCCCCUCAGACUCUAAAAAGGAUAGCAAAAUGCUCCAUGAAAUCCUACCUCAAAUGAGAUAAAUUUUAAUGAUUUUUCUAAAAGUAAGAAAAAAAUAAUUUAUAAAUAAUUUAUAGAUUGAAAUUUGGCUUUAUACAUCUUACCCUAUCUCUACCGUCUAAAUAUUUUAUAUUUUUAUAUAGUUUAAGAUAUUAUUUCAAUUGGAUUAUUUUUUAUUUUUAAUAAUUUAAAUAUUUUACAAUAUGUUGGUGGUGGUUUUAUUUGAGUCAUUUUAAUUUUCUUUUCACCAAAAUUAUAUAUAAAAAUCAACAAUAAAAUAAGCAAAUGAGAAGACGGUGGGAUGGAUAACUUAUCUUACACAAAGAUUUUCUAUUCCCAUUAGAGAAUGAAAUUUAUUCUAAUGGGGGUGGGUAAUCGAGAUGGUCUCCCCAAUUACUCCGCCACGUUGUCAUCCUUAUACUAAAUCAACCGUAUUCUACCAAGCAAUACGACCAUCGUGAAGAAACAAUGUAUUAUAUAUUGUUUAUAAUUUAUAGAAUGCGUAAGGAAGCAGAAAAUUAUCUUUGAAAAUGAGAGGGAAAUGGAGUUUACAGGAAAUUUCCUGCUAUCAUCAAAUUCGGCUACAUGAUAGCAAGUGUCAUUGGUAAGGAAGCUUACAACUUCAAAUUUAUAUACGCGGGCGAUAUAUAUAUAGCAUAAUUGGCAAAAAUGAGACACCAAAUUUCAUUAUUGACAAAACACACAGCAGAAGUGAUUGGUCUUCUAAUUUGAUCUGUUUACCCGGUAUUUAUGGUGCUAAAAAGCAACAACCAUGCACGCUUUUUCUUCUUUUAUUUUUGGGCUUUUUUUUUGUGAGGGUUUUUUUUUUGGGGGGGCCUGAUUCAAUUUCGUUAGUUUAAAAAUUAAAAUUGAUCUGUUGUAACUUUUAAAAUUGGCCAAAACACAGCUACGUCAUGUCGAUCCGUGUUAAGUUGUGAUUAUAACUAUAUGUGUAGUGCGAGAAUUUCUUGAUGACUGGACGACGCGGCAACAAAAGUAGGCCAAGAUUCCUCUCAUCGGAUCACAGAGUGGGAGAAAGAAUAGAUAUGACGAAUGGCAGCAAUUCUCCAAUUCCAAAUUCAUAUUCGUCUCAGUGAAAGAUUAGGCUUAUGGGGAGACGACACGAGUUUGAAACUGGUAAAAUUGGGCCUAUUAAGGCCCAGAUCAAAGUCCGACCCCCGUGCCCUCUCCAACAAAAUCACUAUCUCACAAAAAUCUCAGUCCAAGAGAAGGACAUUCCGAAGGAUAUUCCACGCUAAUUUUUCAAAUUUCCUUUUUUUUUUCCCUUUUUUUUUUUCUUUCUCCACCUACUAUACAGUUCCACAUCUCACAAAAAUCUCCAACUACUAGGCCCCAUGCAGCCGUGCUGGGUCUCCAUCAAAACGACAAAUACUAUAUAUUUUCCAAUUUUUAUAAUGCAUGUUUAAAAAAUAUAUUUCCCCUUUUGUCAUCUUCCCUCCUUAUCUAAAAUUAUCCUUUCAUCUCCGUUUACUUGCUCUACCCCACGCGCCGACCAAGUCACCCCAAUUCUUUAUUUCGUAAUGUCAGGUAUUUUGCAGAUCCAUAUCGAUAAUUAUCCAACCUCUACUCCAUUUAUCGGCAAUUCCGCCAUCGGAUUCCCGCCGAUUCAAGGAAAAAUAAAGGCACAUCAAAUUAAAAAAACAUAAAAAAGGAUACGUAAUAUAACAAGACAAGCCCUAUCUUAUUUAAAAAAGGCAGCUCAUAGAAAGACAUAAAAAACAGUUCAUCAAGAACCACCACCGGAGACCCGAUCCGACCCGAACAAGUAACAUAGCAGGAAAAUUAGAUAAAGAUUAAAAGUCCUACAGACACGCCCACAUAAUAAUAGAUAACAUAAUCAUCAUCACGAUCGCGAUCAGACGGCCCGUGAUGAUGGCGAUCAUUAUCAUGAUCAAAUCUAAGACAAUUGACCGCAAUCAGCGAUCACGACGGGCUUGUUGGUCCUUCCGGAGCUGGACCCCACUUUCUCGAUGGCCUUGACGACGUCCAUGCCUUCGACGACUUGACCGAACACAACGUGCUUCCCAUCGAGCCACUCGGUCUUGGCCGUACAGACGAAGAACUGAGAUCCGUUGGUUCCGGGUCCGGCAUUCGCCAUGGAUAGGAUUCCGGGGCCGGUGUGCUUCUUCACGAAGUUCUCAUCGGCGAAUUUCGAGCCGUAGAUUGAUUCGCCUCCGGUUCCGUUUCCGGCGGUGAAGUCUCCCCCCUGGCACAUGAAUCCGGGGAUCACACGGUGGAAGGACGAGCCCUUGUAGUGGAGUGGCUUGCCGGACUUGCCGACGCCUUUCUCGCCGGUGCAGAGGGCUCGGAAGUUCUCGGCGGUUCGGGGGGUGACAUCGGCGAAGAGUUCCAUCACGAUCCGGCCGGCCGGCUGACCGCCGACGGUCAUGUCGAAGAACACUUUGGGGUUUGGCAUUUUUGAUUGGUUGAUUGGAGAGAAAAAAACAAACUAAACACGAACUUCUGAUUUGGUGAUUUGUUGGCGAAUUUGUUAGGGUUUUGGGGCAAUUAAAUAGGGGAUGAAGCGGUGGGGGAGUAACAAAAAGUGAAUCUGGACCGUUGAGGUGGGACACGUGGAGGUAUCGUGGGGCGGGGUGGAAGUAACUGUGGUUGAGUUAAGGUUUACUAGAGUUAUGUGAGGGAUCCAAGGCUGGGUGUUUUAAGUUUUGGAUAUGUCGUUUUGUCAGUGGGAACGGCGUCGUUUGUUUGGGUUUAAAAUUGCGCAUAUUUAUGAUACGUAGCGGAAUCGUACAAAAAUCGUCAUACGUACUAAACUCAAACUGACUGGUCUGAGUAUUUAUUUAAUCAAUUAAAUACACCUGACUGAGUGAGUUUAAAUCUCAUCGGACGGUGUACAAAUACGAUCUGUCGAAUUCAUAGAAAUUAUUUUAAUCUCGCCAUAAAAAUUAAAAAAAAUUAUAUUUUUUAUUAUUUCUAAAAAAAUUUCAAAUUAUAAUAACGUCCGCAUUAAUGAAUUCCACAAAUCCUGCAAUUUAAGAUGCCCAUUUGAUAUUUGUAUAAUCCUCCAAUUCAAGUUGCCCAUUUGAUGAUUAUAUUUUUUUUUUCUCAUUUUUGUCUUCUUGUUUCCUUAACAAAUAAUAAUAUAUAAAUACAAAAAAUACUUCAAAAAUAAACAAGAAUAUAAUGUUAGCCAACAUGGCAGCUUUCACUUUUAGAAAGAAAAAGAAGGAAAACGAAAUUAGAAAGAUUCUGUACUGGACAAACUAUAAUUCCCCACUCAGAGGUAGUUAAAUUUCAUCCAUACAUUUCAUUAAUAAUAAAUAAAUGAUACAAGAUAAUUUAAAAAUUUAGAAGAAUUUAAGCUAAGAAACCCAAAAUAAAGUUGCUUUGAAUUUAUAACAUCACUUUCCAAAUAAAAAUAAUUGUACAAAUGCACUUAUAUACUUCCGAGUUGACAGCUUAUGCGGCGGAAAGGAAUUGAUUAUAUCAUUAUCCUUGCUAAAAAUACGUAGGUAAAGAGAUAGAGAGGUAUUAGAUGCAAAGCAAAAGUGAUUUUCUUUCUUUGUUUAUCCGUGUUUUGAUGAAAAAAGUGAUUUGAGUGAGUAAUCAUCAUUGUACUAAACAAAUAAUUGAAAGAGGGGCAUACUAAUAAUCUUCACAAGCGCCAUUCAUUGGCUUCUCACUCUUUUUUUUUUUUUUUUUAAGAGAGAAUAUAGUAACAAAUUUAAUAUCACUAUCUUUUUCGUUCUAAAGUAAGAAAUAAUCUCAAAUAUUCCCAGGGAAGAAGAAUCAUCCCGCUCUCUGUGUGUGGACCAAACAUAGUAGUGUGCCCAUUUCGAAAUAUUGGAACUUUGGCGCCAUGAAAUCCAUGUGUCUUCACAAUUGUGAAUUAUUUGUUUAUAUGGAUACCACCUUCGCAAGGUGCGAGUCCCCGCUGCAUGCCUAAAGACAAACAAUACUGUCCCUUUGGAGGGAUAAUUCACAUACUUCACGUACAUGAAUAAUGGUGACAGUUACGCGUGCCCUCAAAAUCAUGAUUAAAUUUCAUUCAAUGUCUUUUUCUAGUUUUUUUAACUUGUUACAAGCACUAAUUUAGUCUUCCCUGAAUUCACAGUUUUUGAGAGAGAGAACUGAAAUAAAUCCUUGUGAGGGCUCGACCCCAGGUGAGUUACCAUCGCCAACUAGACUCGGUUGCACGUCUUUUUGUGGUUGAUCAGAAACCAAAACCCACAAAAUUGAAAAUUCUAUAUUGAAUUAACAGAAGCCCCCUUAAUGUCGAUGAAAUUCUCCACAAAUUUGACUGAAAAUGACUUUCACUAGGCAAUUAGAAAUAUCUUUGCCACCACAAGACAUCUCAUUGGAUCUCAGAAGAAUGACUGGAAAAUAAUGCUUCAAUUAUAUGAUAUAACCAUCCGGAAUAUUUGUACAAAAUAUCCCUUCUAUUUACAUUCCUUCCCCCGCCGACGCACACACCCCCCACCCCCCCAAAAAAAAGAACAAGUAAUCAUAACAUCUACAAAAUUUUCACCCUCUUUUUAAGCAUACACAGUUUAGCUAUUCUUUGCAGGAGUAUUCCUCGGAAUAUGACAUUGGUUUACAGCAAUCCCGGAUAGACGAGUGAUGUUAUACGUUCCAAUGAUUUCAUUGAUGCUUUGAGAAAUGCAUGCCCUUCAGUUGCUAUAGAAAAAGAACCGAAUUGUAAUUGCUUCUAUAUGAAUCUCAGUGUCAAGUUAUAUGAUUGCUGGCAAAAUAAAAGAAUGAUUACCUUUUAUGAGCAAUUUGACUUCCUUCGAGAAAUCUUCCACACGUCCUAAAACAGGCCUUAUUCCACAAAUCUGUAGAACACAGAGUUCCAAGUUUAAGGCCAUUUCCAUUACUUGAAGCAGUAAAAGACAGAUGUGACGGAUUUCGGGAUCAAUCUGCUUCAAUUUAUUCGCCUCACAUAUUUCAAUAACAAUAGAAGCUGCCUGAUCCUGCAAUUUCCAAUAAUAAGUCAAGAGAAGGCACUGGGAAAUAGUCUACAUAGCAGAAAAACGUCAUGACAAUAAAUUAAUAAUUUUAAUUCAUUUUGAUUAAAUAUUACAAGAUCUUUUAUUAGGCAAACCACUGACAAAUGAUAUAUAACUAGCCCUUGAUUGUAUGGGAUACUAAAACAAAAGUUACCAUCAUACCUGAAGGCCAUGUAAAAUCUCAGGCAUCGGAAGCUCGGGAAAAUGGGCAAGAUCAACAAAUCCCACUUCAUCUGCCCUUUCAGCAGCACCCUUAGCUUGAAAACAAAGAAAUUCUAAAAGAAGAAAUGUAAUUCUAUAGAUCUGCAUGGCAACAGCAUCUGAGAAGUAUGUUUGGGAAACGGCAAAACUACUGUCUGUUGUUUGAUCCCUGAUUACAAGAGCAGUUGUUGCUGAAGCAGAAGAUGACUUCGUCUUUGACACACUCCCAAGAGGUGUAAGGGCAAACCAUCCACUUUUGCUGUUGACGAUCGAUGGUCUAUUGCACCAAUCUAACUCCUCUUUGAGGACAGGGAGACAUAAGAGAGGGGCAGUCCUGCUGGCAGAUUCUCCAACAUGUUGAGUUCCUCGGCUAAUAAAGGCUAAAAGAUGGAUACUUGUUUCUCUCAAUUGUGAAUCCAUUUCUUUCAUGGCCUUAACCCAUGAACCCCAAUGUUUUGCUAACACACACAUCAGCAUGAGAGUGUGCUCUGUUUCUUUAAGAGAAGUCAGAGAAGCUUGGGUCCUUUGUGCACGAGCUCUUUUCUUCUCAUGAUCAUCAGACCGAAAGUCUGGUGAACUGAGAUUAUAAGAAAUCAGAAAAGCUUUCUCUGAAAAGAAAUAAGGUAUGACAUUGUCUGCUAUAUCCGUGCAAAAACUGUCUCCUAAAGAAUGAACCAUAGCAGCAACCACUGCCAUGCCAAGUCCCCAAAUUUGAUGAAGCUUUUCAGUUUUAUCCGGUAGAUUGAAGGGAAUCUUAUCAUUAUUGACUACAAAGGAAGGCCCAGCAUCCAAUAAUUCGGAAAACAAAACUUUAAGCGAUGAGAAAAAACCAGCAUUAAUGAGCAUCUCAGCACCUCCUCUAACUCGUGCAAGUGUCAAAAAGAACUUCAAUAUUAUUGGAAUGGAUUCAAAAGUUGUUUUAUCUUGAAGCUUCUGAAUGACAUGCCGCAGCUGGAGAUAUUGCUGUAUGAUGGGGAACCAAGUAUUAGGUGUCAGCAAACUUCUCAGUAUCAGGUCCACAAUAGUCAGGGAGAGAGUGCAAUGCUCUGCGCAAAUUAUGCAAUGGCAGAGAAGAGGUAGUAACCCCAAGGUCACAUUGGAAAUCUCAGCUAAGUUUUCAAAUUCCUUAUCUUUCAGCCCAUCUCGAUGUGAAUUAAGGCAAGUAGACUCCAUCACCAAGAGAAGCAACAUAAGCAAAUGCUUUAUCGUUACAUUCACCAUAGUAACUGAUGACCUCAAGUCACUCAGCACUUUAAGGCCAGAGCCACAGGUUUUUAAAACUACACAAAUGGGUGAAGUUGGUCUUUUCUGAACAGAUUUCACAAGAUGGAGAAGUAGUUCUGCCUGAGCAGCAAGGAAUUCAAGGAUAUCUUUUGAGGCACCUGGAGCCAGAGCUAACAGUUCGACCGUCACAUGGAAAUUUUGGCAUAUGUGAUCAAUGCAUGAAAGGGUGAGGUCAUCAGGGUUCUUCCUUCCAAUUUUGGACCUUUUCUCCAGUGACUGCCCAUCAGACAAGAGUCAAUAAUCUAUAAUACAAGCAAAUGCACAAACAGGAAAAUUAUAUGCCCAAGCCAGAAAGCAUGAGAUUAAAAUCCCUCUUGCUAUUAGCCAAUAUGUAGGAGUUUGAUCAUUUAAAAAUAAUGUUGCAGCAACAUUAUUUUUAAAUUCUCAAAAAUGAAAAAUAUAAGAAAUGAUCGAAGUUCAUCAAAUCUAUCUUUACAACAUAUAGAAGUUUAUUUUCUUAUUCGCACAUACAAUAUUCUUGAUUCUCAAGAAAUCCAACACUCAAAAGAUUAAAUGACAUUAAAUGUAAGCUCCUAGGAGCAAAGAUUGUAACAUGUGGACAGCAGAGUUAUUUAAUGUCCUUCAUGUAAAUUCUAUUAAUAAUUAACAAUAUUUUUACCUUGUGUUCAAAAUGUUAGCCCACUGUCAUGCAAAUCGAAAAAUUUGUGUAAUACACCUCAAUUAUUAGCAUGAUACGUCCAAUAUUUUCCAAGGGUUUCAACACAAAUUCUGACCAAAGCUUCAAAAACUUACAUAAAUACACCUCCCUAACUUAUAAUUGCAUUCUUUUAGUCAGUAUCUCCAUUGAAACUACACAGAACCAGAAAAUUAAACAGAACACCUCUAGAAGAGAAGAGAUAAAAAUCAAAUCAAUUUAGAUGUACUCUUGUGAUCUUUAAAGUGAGAUUAAACUUUACUUCUACAUAUAACAAAAAGUGUAAAAGAAGGGGAAAAAAAAACAUAAAUAGGUUCACUGAACAAACUUUUCUAGAUCUCUAAUGUUCAAGGUUAGCAGACCCUAACAGAAGGCAUUCAGAAUUAGAGGACUUACAUCAUUUUCAUACACUGUUAAGACAGUUACUAAUGCUUUCAGAGCAGAAAGCUUUGAAGUUGCAAGUAACACCAUUGAGUUUGCUUCUUGCAUGCAAUGCAAUGUUGUGUCAGCAAUUGCUUUAAAUGCUUUCCAUUCUGAAUAAUCCCACAUGUCCAAACCCAAAUCUUCUCUCAUGCAUACAGGAUCAAACAAGUACACAUCUUCGGAAGCAGCAAAUAGGUCAGCAUUGUAUUUAUGUUCGUACGACUGCAAAAACUUAGAUUCAAUCAGAUACUGCAAUAGUUCUCUGAAUGGCCCAGGACUGAUUUCACGACCUUCAAGCUCUCCUUGAAGAUGACAGUAAAGAUCACUGAGUAUUAAAAUCGUCAACUCUUUUCCUUCACUGGAAAGAAAUUCCAAAGAAUUAAAAAUAUUAAUUUAGUAGACAAGAGAGUGAUCACAUCAUGGGAAAUUAUAAAAAAUUAAUUAAUUAAUUAAUUAAAUGUGCAUAUAUAUAACUAAUGCCUUUCAUAUUCUGAAACAGAAUUAUAGCCCAGACCUCUACAUUUUGGUCAAGCAGUACACAAGUAAGUUGACAUGACAUCACAAGGACAUUCAGUCAUACAUUUACAAACCUCAGUAAAAAUUAAAAAAAACAUCAUUUUUCAUUCAGCAUCAGCAGUUAACAUCGCUAAUUGGAUUUAGAUGUCCUGUUUCGAAAUAAAACAGUUGAUAUAAAAGAAAACACAUGAACUUUAUUUACCUGUAGCGACGCUGUGAGUAUUGCAUCAGUAAUUGAGUAAAAGCAGCAUGGCUGGUCAACUGUUGACAAAAAAUAUCAUCAUCCAAAUAAUAUGAUGUGACCUCAAAGACAAAAAGAAAUGGAGAAAAACAGACCGGUAAUUGUGAAACAAAGAUGAUGGAUCAAAAGGAUCACCUAAUUAGAAAAGAUUAACAGCAUGCCUAUAGUAGACUGGGUCAUACCUUUUUCGACAUAAGGCGAACCUUCUCAAGCAAUGAAACAGACAAACUUCCCGAAUCACCGGUUGCUAAUUUCCCUAUCAUAUGCACAGUAAGUAAACUGACCGCAACCUGCGAAGUAGCAUGUAAAAUUGUGAAUAUUACAGUUUUUACAAAUUUGAAUAUAAAGAGUAUAAAACAAGGGGAUAAAACAAUUAUCAAAGAACCAUGUGUACAAACAGAUGUACUCCACAUCAUAGAGUAUCAUUCAGUCAGGUAUAAACCAUUGUAAUUCGGAAGUUCUUAUUAAGCCAAUUGGAGAAUUGUGAAAUUAAAUGGAAGUUGCAUAUCUCUUUCUACUGAAUUGCCGAGAAAAAUAAGGAAAACUAGCAGGAAAGUCACCUUUGCACGAAAAAGUAUCUCAUUAUCAUACGCACAGGAAGUAUAUGACUUGAUCAGCUCACACAUUACAGAGCUCUGAUACCAACUUGACAAGAUAUCCUCAGCACCCCAAUCAUUUGCAGAUUUUGACUGUCCAGCACUUACUACAUUUUCUAUCCCUCCGUUUGAUUCUGUGGCUUGUUUAACAAGUGACUCAGCUUGUAAUAACCUUUGCUUCAGGAAUAUAUCAUGUGCCAUUAUGUCUAAUAUAGCAGAUUGACACUGAUAUUCGUAUGCUAAAUUGUGAGACUCCACUUCUGUUAUAUCUUCAAGUCCAGGAGAUUGCAAGCUGGUAAUUAACGAAAAUGAGUAGGACAGAUGCUUCCAGAACUUUCCGGAGCUCUUCAAUGACUCCAAAAUAUUUGUGUACUGCCCAGCCCCUUGCCACAAGGCCUUUAGGAAGUUAAGUACAUUCAGCAGUAUGCGGGGAUUGCUGGACAAGAUAAAUAAAAUUUCAGACAGAUUAUAGCAUGUAACCUCAGAUAGUAACAGUAUCCAACAUACAAAUUACAAGCCACAAGAUCUAACAGCUAUCAUCACUAAAAAAAAUCAACUGACAACAAAACCAAAACCAGCCUAAAACUCCGUCCAGAGAAUACCUCUUGAUAAGAUCAUCAGAUCUUUGAAUAUACAGAAGAAUUGCAUCUAUCACCCUUGAUUUCUUGGAUCCAAGCAACCCUGAUGAAGCUUCAUUUGCUGAAUGCUUCAUCCCACUGUCAUUGCUUUGUGGGACAUCUUGACUCUCCAUAGUUGAAAAGAAAGCAAUGAGAAAAGCAGGCUGCAAAAGAAAAGCACAAAAUUAAGGGAAAAAUAACUAGAGAAUCCAAAGCAUCACUAUUGAGAUGGAAGCAUGAUGUCAAGGAAAGAACAGAAACUCCCAAAAGUUCCAAUAGUAACAUAGGUAGAACCUCAUGUGGAUUGAACACAUAGUUACUGAGCAAAUAACAUAACCAACAUAAUUUGACCAGUCACACAAUUCUUUUUUUUUUUUUUUUUUUUAAAGUUACAGAGAUAUAAUCCAUCAUCACACAUACACGAGUGUUCAAUGUGAAAAUUUAAGAGGCAGUACCAAACAAAAUCAUAGAGAAGAGGACAAUACCAAAGUAUAUAAACAUGCAAGUCCUCCAUCCGUGUAUAAAAUUAACGAAAGAGGUCUUCAAAACUUUGCAAAUGAAAAUACUGUAACAUACCUGAUAAUGUGCAGCAGAAGUGAGUAAAUUUACUGAAGCAACAAAUAGAUCUUCAUCUUCUACUGACUGUAAGCUGCUCUCAACAGAAUGCCUUAAAUCUGCAAUCUGAAACCAAGCACUCACUCAACUAAAAGAAAAAGAAACAAUCACUGCACUCACUUGAACUAAAUGGGAAAUGUAGAAGUAUGAGCACGAACACAAAUGUCAAACCUGAUUAUCAUCAAAACCAAAGCAUGCAUUGCCAGAAAAAUAUGGUUGUGAAUAGUCAGAUAUGGUCAACAACGGUGAUAGUACCUUAGUGGCACCAACUUGAAUAGCCUGUAUAGACAACUCAAAAAUUUGUAUAACAAUUAAGUGCCCAUACAUGAUAACUACAAGAAAUAUAAUAUUAAGCCAGAGUGUGAACGGACAGUCAAGACAGAUGGACAACUCCAUGCAGACAAUUAAAGUGGGUAAUCAUUUGUAUAUUUGCUUUGUGAAGUUCACGUGUAUACAAAGUAAACUUAACCAAAAUGCUUAAUCUCAUUACCUAAGGGAGCAACAUUUGCUGUUGAGCAUUAGCAUAUCCUCUCAGAUGCAAAGCACGUGAAUAAAACCCAGUAACCACAAAUGUAACAGCAAACACGAACACAGCUCAUUGCAAUUUAUUGAAAUACAAUGCAGGAGUUUUAAACACGAGAACACAGGUCAAACUCUGAUGUCAUGAUAAAGUUACCACUUAACCUAAAUUCAUAAAUUUACAGAUACCGAUUGAACAAUAUUAUUUAAGUUUUGACAAUGUAAUCAAACAAACUGAUAUUGAGAAAGUCCAUGGUUCCAUACUCAUGCAAGCCAGUUUAUAGGUGUACAUAUCCAAGUCCACAUGCAAAAAAAUAAAUAAAUAAAUAAAACCUUAGUUUAUUACACAUAAAUCGUGUUCAGGAAUGCCCAAAAAUUAACAAUUCUAGCAACUUAAGUUGGAAAUAGCAUCAAUUUUUUCCAUCAAUGUCAAAUCCAACAAGUAGGAGCUAAAUCUCAGCUCAUUUGUUUUUCAACAGAAACCUGAAGCAAGGGUUUCUCCCCAAUAUUUUAGUACUUGAGACUUCAAUUUAAUCUAAGCAACUCACAGACACCUGACAGACAAUUACCAUUUACAAACAUGGAGGAAAUUCAACAGGCAUUCUCGCAUAGAAGUGCCAACCAAUCCUUAGGCCCUAAAAUUGUAAACAACUACGCCAUUAUCUUCCACAAUGAUCAUACAAUUAUCCAAUAUUCACAACUUUAAGCAUAGGAAGAAACGAACAAAAAAUGCGUAUGGAUAAGAAAAAUGCAUACAGGAUUGCGAAAAUAUGAUAUCCAAGACGUAACAGCUGCAAAAACAGGAACUGGUGUUGUUGUAGGUGACAGCACAGCUUGGUAAAAGACAGAAGGGAUGGAAGAUAUUUCCUGUAAGCAAAAUUGAGAGUUAUAAAUUGCAUAGAUAUAAUUAGGGUAGAACUAUACAGAAUAUACCAUAUAUGCAUAGAAUCAGUGGAUAAAUAUUCGAAAGCAAUAAGAAGUGUGUUAGACCAAUGAAAACUUAUGUUAGGCACAAAUAUAAAGGGGCAGGAGUAGUUUAGUAAUUUUGCUUAUUCACUAAUUAGGGCUCAAGUAUAAAUAAUAGAUUAAGGAGUCAUUUAGGGUUUAUGCUGAGUUUUGUCUAGUAUUAGGAGUAAUUAGGAGUUUUGGGAGAGAUUGACCUACCUCUCGAAUUGCAGGUCAGUAUUGUUAUUUCUUUUUAGUCAAUCAAUAAAAAUCAACCCUAAUUUAGCCCUAAGUCCUAUCAAAGUGGUAUUAGAGCAAAAAUCUUGGGACAAUGGCAGCAAAGAAGGUGGACUCGCUUGAAUAGAAAUUGGAAGCAGAGGUUGGAUCGCUAAAGGCCACCAUUGACAAGCGAUUUAACAUCGUUCAACAACAAUUUUCAUCCCUUGAAGCCAUGUUGCUGAAAUUGACGGAACUCCACCUUAAACCACCACCGGGCAUGGCGGGAGAAGGAUCCGGUGGUACAGAAAUUGUGGUCGGCGGCGGCGCAAAGGGCGGAGGGCCAAAAACCACUAGUCUUGCACGACAAGGGGCGAUAGGUCACGAUGGAUUUGGUGGCGAGGAGGUCAGCCCAGGGGACUCGCGGCCUAGGGAAGCCUUUCUCGGCAUCAGGCCCGACAGAGGAAGCUGAGUCAUGGCUGGGGGUGGUGGAUCUGAGGGUUACGUAGCCGGAGGAGGCAACUUAAGGUCAAGCAUCGGCAUUUUGACACUGGAAUGGGGCACGCGAGAGUUGGGGAUGGUCGAGCUUGGCGACUCAGCGGUGUUUAGGGGUGAUGCACGGCCUGGCCAAGGCCAUUUCGGGUCUAGGCAGGCUUUGGGCCAGGGCAGGCUGGAUUGGGGCCCGGGCAGGGCGAUUUUGGGUCUGGACAGGUCAGAUUUGAAGGCGGAUGGCCGAGAGGAGGGGUUUCUAGUGAGAGAGGGGAGCGGUUAUGACCGAAAUGUGGCUAGGCAAGAGAUUUCAGCCCAAGGCAAGGAGAAUUUCGGGUUGGGUCUUCGGGAUUUGCAGAAACUGGAGUAGAUUAACAAGGUUGGAGACCUCCAAUGGCACGAAACUGAGCGGGAUAGACUUAACUUGAGGCGGAUUCUAGGGUAAGGAAACUGAAAAUGACCAUUUUCGAAGGCGAGGAUGCCCAUCGAUGGGUGUAUAGGGUAGAGUGCAAUUUUGCCAUCAAUGGACUCUCAGAAAGGGAAAAACUGAUGAUGGCGGCAUUAUGUUUGGAUGGAAAGGCCCUUGCGUGGUUUCAAUGACGAGAACAAUGAUAACCAUUAAGGCCGUGGGGUGAAUUCAAAGACCAGCUGUUGGAGAAGUUUUGGGCCACUCAAGAUGGAAUAGUCAUGGAGUAUAGGGAGAAGUUUAAGUUGCUAUCGGGGCGUCUAGGGGGAAUCGCAGAGACGGUAUUGGAAGGGAAUUUUAUAAAGGGACUAAAGCCAGAAAUCCAAGUUCGCUAUGUUUGCUAAGGCCGAGAGGGUUAAGGGAGACAAUGGAGUUGGCACAGAUGAUUGAGGAUAAGAACACAACAAAACAAAUUAAUAGGAGCAAUUCAGUCGGUUUUUAAGUCCAAAACAGCACACCAUUGGUAGGACAAAAAACUUAGACCUUGGGGUUUCAGCGAGAGUUCACCACCACGAGGCCAGAAAACGCAAAUGAUGAGGUUGUAGAGAGAUUCCCAAAGGGAUCGGAUUAGUGGGGCACGACCAGGGGUGACUUUCAAACGCCUCACAGAGAUGGAGAUUCAAAACAAGAGGGCGAAGGGGUUGUGUUUUUUAUGUGAUGAGAAAUUUUUACCGGGGCAUCGAUGUAAGGACAAAUCACUACAAGUCUUGACUGUGUAUGAUGAGGAGGAAGGCGGGGAGGAAGCCGAUGAAGAAGAGGCAGCAGUUUCCUGAAUUUCACCUUGAAGACAAGAUGACUUUUUGGGAGGGGAGUAAUGUUAGACCAAUGAAAACUUAUAUUACGCGCAAAUAUAAAGGGGCAGGGGUAGUUUAGUAAUUUUUCUUAUUCACUAAUUAGGGCUCAGGUAUAAAUAAGAGAUUAAGGAGUCAUUUAGGGCUGAGUUUUAUCUAGUAUUAGGAAUAAUUAGGUGUUUUGGAAGAGAUUGACCUACCUCUCGAAUUGUAGGUCAGGAUUGUUCUUUCUUUUUAUUCAAUCAAUAAAAAUUAACCCUAAUUUAUCCCUAAGUCCUAUCAAAGUGAUGUGAACUUGGAGGAAAGAAACAAAAAUAAUUGAACUUAAGAGAUACAGAUGCCGUUUGAUAGCUUGCGCAAGGAUUACUCAAACUUGUAACAUAAGAUACAGUAAUAAGAACUUGAAAGACAGGCAGAUAACAAAGACACAAUAGUACAUCUAUUUACCAGCGUACCAAUAACAUGAUGUGUUACUUCAUCAUUUACUAUGUAGCAAGCCCCUAGUAUUACAAUCCUAGGAAAAUUCGAAGCUUACCUUUGAAAAUUUUGAAAGCAUGGUAUACAAAAUAUCCAAAGCAGAACCUAUUGCAAGUUCCAGUCCUUCAAUCUCCGUCAGUUCAAAAGUGCGGAUGACAUAAAGUUUCUGUUAGCAUUGUGAUCCUGUUAGUAAGAAAAGCAGCACUGACUCAUAGAUGGAGAAUAAAUGUCAGUAAGUGCUGACAACUGACCUCCAAGGCUUCUUUAGUCGUACAAAUAAUUCGAAAGAGGGUAUUGUGGAUGGAAGAAUCACAGAGUAGCAUACCCCGAAUGACCUCACCCAACUUCCUGGGGGCCAAGGUUGAAAAUAUGCAUGUUUUGAUCACUUGAAGCACCUAAAACAAUAAACAUGAGAAAAAAAUUCACCUUUGCAGCAUUUAUUUCCGACCAAAAUAUUCCAGCAUUCAUUUGAGCAGAAUCAGAAGAUUAGAAGAGAUAAAGCAGAAUAUGAGGUCAGAAGGAAGACAAUAUGCUGGAAUUUCAAACAAAAGCCAAGCUUUUGACAAGCAAUUAUGAAAUCCCAACAAUUAACAAAAGAAACAAAGAUUUGAACUUUUGAACUGAUCAUUUCAUCCCAUCCAGAAGUGUUAACCAAAUAACAAUAUUAUCUUUCAACAAUUAACAAAACAUAACAUUUUAUGAUUUAAUUAAUAUAUUGGGAGAUUCCGAUGCAAGCAAGCUAAGGCUGAUAGGUAAACACCUAUUUCUUUUUCAAGCAUUUAAAUUAUUUUGUAACGUCCUUAGAGAAGUUCAAUUUUUCUGCUCUUUCAAAAUUAUUUACGGAUGUUUACGAAAUGAAGUUCCGUCGUACUCCCUGUCUGAAAUUUGUCAAUAUGAUGUAGCUUAGUUAAGUCUUUGGUUAUUAUCUGGCCUAGUAAAAGUGUCAUUCCCAAUCCAGAUCAUGGCUCUAGAGUGAUCAAUCUAAUUACUCAAACCUUCAACAUAUUUGCAUUAAAGUGAAGUGGGAAGUAAAUGACAGUUGAACCCGGCAGUGGCACUAGCUUUAAGCAGCUUGAGAAUUUCAACAAUACACAAAAUACCUCAUUAGUUAAACCUCUUGUUACCAUAAUUCUAAAACAUUUCCCAUCAAACUCUUAAGGUUUUGGCUUAAUUAUAUGAAAAUAAACUUUCCUGCUUCCAGAAACAGGAAAAUACCUUCCCUAAAGCUUCUAAAAUAGACAUAAACCUCCUACAAACUUCAUCAUGGACAGUUCCUGAAGUUUCAUUAAAUCUAUUAGAAACCUACCCUACAGGGAAAGUACUGCCUAUCUUCCAAAUCAAAGUGUCCUGGUAAUGUAACAGCUGACUAAAACAAUAACAUACCUUUAAUGUUACUUUCCAACGAACAUGCUUCACCUUGUAUUUCCAGUACUCAUGGUUUACUAGAAUAUACUGGAGGGAGAAAACAACUAAAGAAAGGACUAAAUCAUUCUCUACUCCUGUCUCCAGAAGCUGCAUAGUAAAGUCCAGCACUGCAAAGCAUAAUUUGCAUAUCAGAAUACAGAAUUCACAAUACAAGCACCAAUGCGUGAUCAAGUCAGAUGGACAAGCAAACUCACGAGAAUACAAAAAGCAUAAAUAAACCUAAUGUCUAUAAAUGCUUCAAUUAAAAGAAUGAUAAUGACAAAAUGAGGUCAAAAUAGAAAAUACCAUAUAAUAUACAUACAUACAUACAUACAUGCAUAUAUAUAUAUAUAUAUUGGUAUUACUAUCAGGACGUCUUAAUAGAAAUUUUUGUCAGGACCUUCAAUCUCAACCAUUGGAUUUGUCCAACAGUUGAGAUUUAAUUAAAAGUUUCUCUUUCUUCUGAAAUUCAUCAACAUCCUCAUUGCGAUCUAUAAAACAUAAAAGAUUGUGCUGGUUGAAGAUAAGUACCUGAUAUAGUCAAAGGGCAACCACAGUCAUUCUGCUCACAAUCAAUCAAAAGCAUCUUUGCCAGUUUUCCAGAAAGCAACCACCCACUGGAAAGCACAAGGUGACAUAAGGAAUUUAAAAAGCAAGAAUCUGACUCAAACAACAAAACCAUCUCAAUUAGAAAAACAGGCCAUUGUGUAUACAAGAUAGUACCAAUUACCACAAAAAGAAUGGCCCUAGGGGCCUAUCUCAGUGGUUUUCAAGUAGCUUUAUUUAGCUGGCCACCCAAGUGCGAAUCCCAAGGGAGGUAGGGGUUAAAAUGUUGAUUUGGGUUUUGUCCACCGUAUACCUUUUAAAAGAUAUAAUUAAAAAAACUACCAUGAACAGAACAGAAGCCAAAAAUGAGAAUCAAAAUUUCCCUCUUUUUAUUUUUGUGGUUUUCUUAAUAGGAAACAGUUUAACUUUUACUUUAAAAAAAAAAAUUGAUCCAGAAUAGUGAGAUGAGCCUCUGUGGUCCACCAGAAAAUUCACAAUAUGUUCAUGCUACAGAAAUGUCUCUACGGGACUAUCUUUAUCAUCCAGCCUGGUAUUGUAUAAAAAAGCAUCCAACCUAAAUGAAGAAGAAUCCUAAAACUAUUUAGAAACAGACACGAAUAAAGAUGAACUUUGUCUCACAGAAAACCAUUAUCCUUUAUAUAGAAUUCUCAAAGAUUAUUUUGCUCAUUUCCAUUCAAAUCAUCCAAAAGAUUAACAACUCUGAUUAUCUCCAAAAAAGCCUUAGCUUUUAGCCUUCAUCAUCGGCACAAAAAUCCACUAUGAAUAGGAAUACACAAUAUUCCAUAACAACCUAUAUCAGCUUUGCUAUCUUUAGAUGGUAUCACAAUUUCAAAAUUAUACAGCGGUGAAGAUAAAGGCACUCAAUGUUCUCCCAGUCAUUUUUGCACAACACACAAGAGAUAACAAGAGAACUUCAUCCAUAAUAGCAUAACUGCUCUCACAAAACAAAGGAAACUCUCCAUUUCCUUCUCUCCUUCAUAGAGAAUAUGGUCCAAAAUGGAGCAGCUUGAAUCAUCUCAACAUGCAUUACACCUGUUAAGUUACCACUUUAACUGAACCCAAAAAGAUUAUUGAAGUUCUAAUACAUCCUCUAAUGUACAGGACGCAUGGAUCAAACACAUAAACAAACAAAGAAGAGAACCUUUAUAAUUUGAUUAAUAUAAUAGGGGAAUUUGGAAAAGAAGACUGCUAAGUCAAAUUGGCUCUGAUGCCAUGAUAAUCACCGCUUAAGGGCUUAACUUGUAAAUAAGAGCCCAAUAAUGGUAUUUAAACUAUAAUAAUUGUCAGCUACAUGGAAUUGACUGCAGGAAUCCUCAUAACGCAAGACUGUCAAAUAUAAUACAAGAAAUGCAUGUAACAAAUACAAUAGAAUGGCAAUAAGACUUUUCAGAACAAACUGUACAGCUUCAAUUUCGCUUAAUAGCUUGCAAAGUCAUUAAUGAUACAACCAUCUGAUGUUAUUACAUAAAAAUUUACUUUAAAAGAUCCAGUUAAGUGUCAACCAUGAAAUUGGUAUAAAUGAAGAGAAAAGUAUAUUAUAACAAUGCGGCAAAAGAUUCACACAAGUUAUUGAGAUGUUAACAGAAAAUUAAUCUGACAACCCACAAAAUAAGUCAGGAAGAAACAAUCAAUGUAAAUUCCAAAUCAACCAUUAAACAGAUUCUCAUCCAUUUUCUCACACACGAAACACAAAAAUUUGAACGUUUGAUGCAAGAGAUUCACCUUGAUGAACCAUUACUGCCGUUAUCAAAUACACUUUCCCUUGAAGCUGAAUCAAAUAUGCUUGCCUUUAAAGCUGCUGCUGCAACCAAAGAAGGGGAACUGCCCCAAAGAUAAAAAUGAACAGUUAAAGAUGAGUAGAUAACAAAAUUAAGCCUUCUCAAAAAAAAAAAGAACAAAAUUAAGCAAUUCCAAAAAUAUUAAAUACAGCAAACCGCCAUUGCAAGUACAUUAAUGUAAAGACAUAUCAAGCAACAGAGCAGACAUGCAUUUCAGUGACACAGAAGCACAAAACACAAGCAUGGAAUUUUACCAUUUUAACAUCUUUGCUAGAAUAUUGACACCCCUGGACAUUAUUGCAGCACUACCAGAACCAGGAGACAGAUCCCUAAUCAAGGUGCAAAUGAUCUCAACCAUCCUGCAGGUUAAAAAUGAUGAAGCAACUAUUUUUCAAACUACAAGGACACAGAUAAUCAAAAUCACGAAGGGAAAUAAGCAGAAAAGGUAAUAUAAAUUAAUUGAUUACCACAUAUUCUUCUCCAUCGGCCCAUUUAAUGCAGCUCCUUGAGCAUACAAUGAGUUGCCUAUGUCCAUCAAUGCAAAACGUAUGGCCUGCACAUAGUACGUUGACAGGAACUAUGGUUAGAAGAAAUGGGUCUUCAAGUUAGCGUUAGGAGUAAUAUUACGUAAAAUCAAAGGCUAAAUGGCAUAGACAAUAAAAAAAAAAGAUGGCUUUAACAAAAAUUACUGUCUUUUAGCAUGAGCAAUUACUUAACUAAGGCUAUAGCACAGUACUUUCAUGGUUUAACAAACAUCUCAAAGCAUUCAAUUAGCAUCUUUACUAAAAACACCUUCGAGGCUACUACCAUCAACCGACAACUGACCUCCACUAUAUGUCAUCAUAAUGGUUGAAUUUUACCAUCUAUUGACAAUAUUAGGGUGAAGAAUGAGAAAGGGGGGAAGAGAGGUGAGUAUAUAUAGCGAAUGUAGGUGGAGUUAUAUAUUUCAACCCUCACCUUAUUUGUAUAUAUAUCACAAGCCAGUAGCCAAAUCACAAUUAUUCUUAAAAAGAUAAAAUCUAGUAUAAAACAUAAUACUCUUAACAAAAAUGAAUAAUAACUUUACCACUACAUCUAACCUAAAUUAGAAUGUUUCCAAGAAUACAUGUCAAUGAAAAACAAUUACAACUACCAAAAAGAAUUACCGAGUUAAAGGACACCAUUCGACUAAACAAAUCCAGAAUAAGAAGAGCUUCUGCACUGCUUUCUGGAUAUUGCUCCUGGGCCAAACGCAGGAGCAAUACGACCACUGCAGAUUGAUUAUACUACAAAAAAGGAGCAUGUGUCAGUAACAAAAUGAACAAGCAACUGAAAUUGCACUCAGAACCCAAAGAUAUUGAACUUUGCUCCUGGCCUUAUGAAGGAGGCCCAGAGGUCCACAUGAGUACAAAAAGGAAGCAGAAGACAACUAAAGAACAUACGUGAAAACCACCCAAUAUUAGGAACUUCUUGAUGUACCAUCCAAAGGCAGUGUUCAUAGCAUCACAUACAGAAUGCAACCAAACAAAGCAAAACAGGAGAGCAAGAGAGAAGGGGAAAAUAUUUUUUUCAUCAUGUAAUUAGUGAACCCACAGAUUAUUGGCAAACAUUAAUGGGAUGCCACAUGACAGCAUGUGAUUUGAUGAAACAGAUGAAAUUUCUAAAAUAUGUUGCUUCAUGCAUGUGAACAUAGUCCAACCUCGAAGCACAAAGACCAGAAGUACCCACAUGGAUAUUGCUAAUAAGUGCAAUUUCAAACUUACACCCAGAUAGUAAGAAAUCUAUAAUUGCAUACGCUACAGAUGAAGGAAGAAAGAAAACAAACUUACUGCAGGACUGACAUCAGAAAAUAUCCUUUACAUCAUCAUCAAUGCAUUCACAAAUCAACAAUGAAAAAAGAUAAAGAAAAAUGUUCUUAGAAAUCUCCAAAAGUCUUUAACAUGAGACAAGUAGCAAACACUUGGGAACCAUCCAGAAACUUAGAUCAUUUACCUCCCAACGAACAAGAGCAGUAUUGCCACCAAAGACUUUCAAAACCUGCCCUCGAGUUUUACUAGGAAUAAGCAAACCUUCGACCCCAGGAACGUGCAAUGGCUGGCGAGUUUCAACAAUCUGAGAGGUGCUAGUGCUAUCUACCAAGGAUUCACUAGUAAUCUCAAAUAAGGUAGAUAUACCAACAGAUUUAUCUAAAAAAUUAUACCUGUUGACAGGAAGAUUUAUUACAUAUUAUAUAGCAACUCAAUUAGCAAUUUAUAUUCAAAAUAGUAUCCGGAAAUAAAAAUUUAAAGGCACAUUCCAUAAAUUUCCAAAAAGUUCACCAAUAUGAAAAGAUUUCAACAGAUCAUCACAAAGUGAUUCAAUAACACUAAAAAGCCUAAGCUCAUAUUAUAAUUUAUUCGAACAAUAAGCAAACUAUAAAUUUACACGUGUAUCAACAGUCUAGCUGAAGAAUCUUGGCAUUAGAAUCUUUGGUUUUACUUGGAGUGUCAGAUUAAUCACUGCAAUCUAAUAUGAUAACACUUUUUUUAUUCUUGCAUAAUAGAGAAAGGUUCAUGAGUAAAAGUAGCUAAAGCUUAAGUUCCAGAUAAACAUAAACAGGGUCACAUUCUAAAUUUUUUUUUUUAAUAAAAAAACACUGUACAAGUUAAGCAAGCUGAGAUGAUCUGGACUUAUGCAAAAUAUCCCAUGCAACAGAAACCAGGUGUUUUACCUUAAAAAUAAUUAUAGUUUUCAAGUCACAGAAUGUAAGGUAAUCAACCAUAAUACCGUAAAUUAAAACAAAACAAAAAAUAAAAUUCCACUUACACACAUUCUGCAGGCCAUCUGCCUUCACAGAGAGCUGACAGAAAGCGAACAAGUUCCAAUGUCCUGAAGGGGAAUUCACCUCCUAAGUUGCUAAGAAAACAUCGAAUAGGACCAUCAACAAAACUUUCUCUAUCCCAAAACUGAAUACAAAGUGACUCCUACAGGAUGGUUGAGCAAGAGGAUCUCCAGUUAGUAAACAAUGAGCAAUGAAAUAUAAUUAAAAAGGAAAUCAAUGAGUAACCCUGAGGGGCAAACUGCUAAUUACUAUACAUCCAAACCUCUCCACGAUAAAUGUUGCAGAGAAUAUCCAGUAUCAAAUUCAGGGUACCAUCCUCUAACUGCAAAAAGGAAAGGGCAUCAUCCAUAAAAAAGAACCAGAAUUUUACCUUAGAAGCAAAAGCAGAUGUUCAACUACCUGAUAAUUGAUCUCGUAAGAUGCAAUAAAUGCAGAAAUAAAAGUCCUCAAUACACUUCGAUAACCAGCAGCUGUUCCCUGAAACAAUAAACAGAAAUUUUAAAAUGAAGCGUACCUUCAUCCCAGACAAAAAACUAAAUGCUUCACUAUGAAAAGUACAAAUCAAGUAAAACACUAGAAAAUACGCAGAGUCACCCAGAAGCAACAAUAACUCUAAACUGAGAACAACUUACAUCAGUUUCCUUUAAUAAAUCACUUUGAAGGAUAUCGAAAAAACAAUUCAAUGAUGCAGCUUCAAAGGCUUGACGAACAUAGCCAACAUGAUCAAUUUCCUAAAAUGAUUCAAAGAAAAAUGAGGUCAAGAUUGACAACAUCAAACAUAAUCAGGGAGAGGGAGAGAAGGGGAAGAAAAAGGAAACAAUGAAAACAUACUGAUAGCACAUUAUUUUCUUCUUUUCCUGGGAGUGAUGAAAUUAGGCAAAGAAACACUGCCCAGGCAAGGAUUAGCAGACCUGCUUCUUUCAUUUCAAAAACAUCCAAAGUUGAUAAUAAUGCGUCCAUCUCUUGAACAUCGUUUAAAGAAAAGACAAAAGCAUCCUGACUGAGAAAUGGAAAACAAUUAUGGUUGAACAAUUGAGCAAGCCAGAUGAAGAAAAGACAAAAAAAGGGGAAAAGAAAUUAUAUAAAAUAAAACAAUUGAUGUAAAAGACAAUAUCACAGAUAUGACAGCUGCUCCCCAGCAGAACCAGAAAAGGAAAGAAAAAAUUAUAGUAAUGAAACAAUCUAAGCAAAGAAGAGAUGAGAGAGAGGUUGAUUGAAAUGUCCUCGACAAAUCAAAUAUAGGUAAAAUGGAAUUAAUAACAAGCAAAAAAACCUGGAAGGUGUUUCGUCAUGAAUCAUUUGAAGAAGAUUUUCAAGGUCCAGAGUUUCUAUAAGUGUAAGCAGCAGCUGUAUUUUGGCAUCACAAGAUGACUUUAGUGCCUCAGUUGAAAUUGCCAGCUUUCCAAAAUUAUAAGAUCCAGAUGAAAUUCCCUGCAUCAUGAGUGUUUCCAAAUUCCAAACAAGGAUUAAGAUUAGAAAAGUUAAACAGGACAAUUGCAUACCUCAUAAGUGAGAAGAAUAACAUUAUACCUUAUAAAGAGAAUACAGCUUCUUCCAUUUCUCACCAUUACAAGUGCAAAAGGAAUCAUAAUAAAGAAGGAAAAGAAUGUCCAAAACCAAACUGUCUUCAAUAAGCGUUUCUUCGGCCCACAAAGUGAAAAGAUCAGUAUCCUGUAAAACAGUAAAAAAUCUAAAUCAAAUCUGAAGGUGCUUAGAUACAUUAGCUGAUGGGAAAAAUAAGCCACAAAGAUUUCAUGGUAAUGCCAUUAUACUACAGAAGAAAAUGAAAAAGUCAAAGGAGAUUAAAGAAGCAUAAGGGCUUACAGGAAAAGUGUUUAUGUGACAUAUACAUGAUUAUUGACUAACCAAACUUACUUGUGUGAAUAUGCAAUAAACAUGUUUGCACAUUAAUUACAUUGAACCAUGCUCUACUCAACAUCUUACAACUGUCAAAAAUUUCCAGUGACUCAUAGCAACUUUACAUCAUCAAACAUGUUGCAAUGAUAGAAUCAUUACUCAGCGGAUAGAUUUGAAAUGGUGAAGUCUUGAUUGUGCUUGGGCACUCAAUUGAUGCAUUUCGCUUCCCUGUUCUAUAAAAUGAUAUAGGUUAGGUAGUAGAAAACAUGAACUCAGGCAUACCAUCUCUACAGGAUGAGUAGCAGAUAGAAGGGCCUGCAGAACAGAAAACAAUUUGGCUUCCAGUCCAUCCGAGAUCAGCUUUAAUGCCUCCUUCCCAACAGCAUUCCCUUCUUUCAAGCUAGGAUCAACAUAUACUGCACGAACAUUAGUUGGAUUAGCAGCAAGGAAAAAAAACAAUCUGCUGCACUACAUUACGAAAUAGUUGAAAAACUAAACUGAGUCUAAGCCAUGGAAGUGUCCAGGUCAAACUGAAUGACCAACCGUUCCAUAAGAUGAAAGAACAGGGAAAUUGAGAAUUAAGACAUUUUCAAUAGGAAUUUACAAGCAUGCAUGAGAAUCCUUCUUGUACACUUCAACAAGCACUGUCGCUCUAUGUAAUACUGAAGCAAUACCUGCAAAAUCACAGGAAAGGAUCGAUGAAAAGGGUCAAACAACCAGAGCUACAUGCUUCAUCAAAUCCAAGUAAUUGAUGAAACAUCUCACUAAAGCAUCAAUCCCAGUCAAUAAUCCAACUAAAAUAAAGCAGGCCUACACCCUGCAAUAGGAAAAAGAAGUUGAUGAAUGGAUUCUUGAACAACAGAAUCAAAAGCCUAAAGCAUCAAUCCCAGUCAACAAUCCAAAUAAUUGAUGAAUCGUCUAAAUUAUAGAAUAAGAAACAAAACAAAAAAAAACUAAAACCACAUGCAAAACAAAAGAACAGCAUAAGAAGAAAGUGACUAACCACAUGAAUGGGCUCUUGAACAAUAGAAUCAAAAGCGACAUUGCGCUGCUUCUGAGUCCUUUCAACAAGAAUGUAUGAUUGCACCUCAUCUAAACACUGAACAAAGGACAAGUUACCACAAUAAAUGAUCAAAUAAAUCUAGAUAUGCUUAUCUUGCAUUACAAAAUAAAUAACAUCCAACCAUUCCUUUUGACAAUGUGCUGAAUUAGGUUACCCUAGUUAAUGGAUUUUCAUAAAGGGGCACUUUUGUGAAAAAUAAAUCACCCAAUUUGCAUAAACCUUAAAAAAUCUUUAAACAAGAAUCUAACAACAAAAUGCAGUUUUUAUUAAAAUUCCAUUCCUAAUCUUUACAAACAGAAUUAAAAAAAAAAGAAGCAAUUAAAGUCAAUUAAUCAGUAAUGCCGCAUGUAAUCCUUAAAAUUCACAAGAAACAAUACAUUAUAGCGUAUAAAUAAAAUUGAAGCUGCCGUUCAAAAUACAAGUUAGCAACUAAAAGUACUGAGAAACUCACUAAAUAGGGGCUAAUUUUCAAAGCCUGCUCUUUCAAUUCAGGCUUUAUAGACAACUGAUGAUGAUCACCGAGUUUCACUAUCUGCGAAUUCAACGCCUCCUUCGAUUUCUCAUUCGGUGGCUUGAAGCGCGACACCGUUUCGACAAACCACGCGCGAUUUUCCUCUAACUUCUUUGCCUAAAAAAAUUAAAAAACACAGAAAAUUCAUUCAAAAUAUACAUGUACACACACCUAUACUUACAUUACAUGCGUAUAGAGAGAGAGAGAGAGCGUGCGUGAGGGUGUGAAGUGCUUACAAGUUUGGGAGAAAGGUCGGAUGAGAGAGAAGCGGUUUCGAGCUCGGUGAGUAGCUCGACGAAGGGGUUCCACCAGAGAGAGGAAUCAACGGUUUUAGUACUGGCCAUUGAAUUGGAGGAGAUUUGUGAGCUUCAGAGAGCUAAAACCCUAGAAGAAACGAAUGUUUUGAUUUUUCGCGCUUUUUCAAAUUGGAGAAGAGAGAGUGGUAGGGCCCGAGGGGCCUGGAGGGCAUUAGUGUCCGUGUGAUUGGCUUGAGUUGUUUGUGCUGUGCUGCGUUGUUGGGCCACACGAGGCGGGCCGGGUUGUGAUGUUCAAGUGCACCCGACAACUAUAAUGGUUCGUCGUGCAAAUUUGACGGGUCGGGUCUACCCUGUUUUGGGUCUUGUCCAAAUCCACACACGAUUAAUGUAGAUAACCUACCCCCUAUGAUAUAUGGGAAACUUAUCCAUGUGAUCAUUUUAAAAUUUUCAUUGUGAAAACAAAUUAUACAACAAAAUUUCUUAAAUUGCUAAUCACAUAUAUAUUCGCUUGAGACCAAACUACCCUUAAAUAAACCAACCAAAACCAAAUCUACAAGCACCAGCUACACCCACAUUGCCCCCAUCUACUGUCACGGUUUUGCAUCGCCCACAUCGCCAGUUCCUUUAACAGUGGUGGCUUCCAUUAUAGUUUUGAUCAAAUUUAAAGAUUUGGUUUUGCUUGGCUUCACUUGGAGAAAUUGUUUUGCUCGUGCACAAUUUAUUUCAUGGUUUCGAUCGGAUUUGUUCUUUAAUUGCUAUUUAAAUUAUUCGUUUGAUGGAUUAUACAUGAUAGAUAAGGAAUUAUUAUAUGUAUUGGGCAUAAAAAUUUAUAAUUUUGUAAGAUUAGGUUUUGUAAAAUAUGGCACAUUAAAUGUUUGUUAAAAUACCUCUUAAAAAAUAAUUUCAAAUAUAUUGUUAAGUUUGAUGAGCAUGCCUCUAAUUAUAUAGUUUUUGAUACCAAAAGCACUUAUUUGCAAGAACUUAACUGAAAUUAGUAUGCCUACGAGCCAUCUCCCAUGUCAAUUUGGGCGAUGGCUUUCUUCGCAUGUACCAAUGUCAUUGUGGCCAAUGCUUCCAUCACCAACGUUCCAUCCCAAGGUUGUCAAUUUCUUUUACAGAAUAAUUUUUAAAAAAAUUUAUUAUAAAGAAUAAUUUAUUAUUUAUUCUCAUAUUUUUUUCCGAUUGUGUUAGGAGUGUUCAGAAUCUAAUCCAAUCCGCUCAAUCCGUCUGAUCCACAAAAAUUCAAUAUGUGGAUUGGUGGAUUGAAUUAAAUUGAAAAUUUAAAAAUCCGCAGUCGGUGGAUUGGAUAUGGAUUUAAUUCUGUAAAUCCGUAAAAAUCUGUGAAUCCGCAAAAGAAAUAAAAAAUAUAUAUUUAUUUAAUUAAAAAAUAAAACUUGUAAAUGGGGGGUUAUUAUUUACUAAUAAAUAAAUAAGUAAAAAUAUAGUUACAUUAACACUAUAUAUAUCUUAUCCGAUAAUAAUAUAUAAUAAAAAAAUUAAAUAAUUGAAUAAUUAAAUAAACAAAUAUAGCUUUUUUAACAGUUAAUUUCAUGUAUUGAUUUAAACAAAUGAGAUUUUUUUUUCACUGUGUUAUAUUUUGAGACUUUAAAUGUAUUAUUCUAUCUUUAUUUAAACAUUUAAUUUAUUUAAAUCUUAUUCAAUUUUGAAUUUGAUCAGUAAUAAAAUUAUUUUUAUAUAAGAUUUUUUUAUUUAAUGCGUUCAUAGAAUGAACAUAAUUAAAAAAUUUUAAUCCGCAAACUAAUUUGUAAAAUAGUGGAUUGGAUGUGGAUUAGGUCAAAUUCGCAUCUGAACCGCAAACAUAUGAAUUGGAUUGAGAUUGAAUUCGUCAAUCCAUUGAUUGGAUUUGAUUAAAAAUUUACAAUCUGUAAAAUCAUGAAUUGGAUAUGGAUUAAUGUCCAAUUCGCAAAAUCCGAUCUGCCAACGCCCCUAGACUGUGUAAUGUUAAAAUUAGCAAAAAAACAGAAAAAAAAAAAAUAUGAAUCUUGCUUGGGCAAUGGUGUGCCAAUGACCAUUGCCCAAAUGAAUCUGCCUUGGGCAAUGUUCUUCAUCGCCCAUAUAGUCCAUCGGCCCGAUAACUCUUGAAAUUUUUGGUUAAUUUGUUUUAAGGGCAAUUUAAUCCAAAGUAGGUAUAUGUGGUUAAUAAUAUAAGUUAUUUUGUUGUAUGAGAGAGGAAAUUAGACCGUCAAUUUAGGCAUAGUAAAUAUCCAACUUGAAUUUGGAUAUUGCACAAUUUAUAUUACACAUCCAUAGAUAAAUUCAUAAUUUAUUCAUAAUAUCCUCACCAUAUGAGGGUAUCAUUCUUGAGCUAAUAAAAACGUGACCAAUACUUUGACUCCUAACAAAUAAUUUCAAACAAAUUCAACAUGGAUUAAGAUUAAAGAGCAUAAACUUCUCAUACUUUUCAUAAAGAACAAAAGUUAGGGCACUUCCUAGAAUUUGGAGGAGUUUCGUGAAAUAAAUAGUUUUCAACAAAAUUAACGAAAAACUUAUUAUUUAUUUAAUAUUGUUCUAUACAUUCUAUUUUGCUACAACUACCCGUGCUCUUUUUAGGUGCAUUUCUUAAUUAUUAUAAUGACUUUCCCUAUAUGUAUAUAAUAAUCCUUAUUCUCAUUUUUACUCGUCUAUGAAGGCAUAAAGAAGGAAAUUAAUUACAAAUAAUUAGUUUAAUUAUUGUCCAACAAGAACAGGCAGAUGAUUAAAACAAACUCAUGAAUAUGUUUUUCCACAAUCUUUUAUAGAUAUUGAGUGAAAGAAAACAUUUAUGAAAGUGUUGGAUAAAUGUCUUUUCUUUUUCUUUUCUUUUUUUUUAAAUGUUCUGUCAUUACUUAUUUGUUUUAUUCACAUUAAUAACAAAUAGUAGCAUAACAUUCAAAUAUCAAUUAAGGUAUGCUUUUAUAUAUGUAAGGAACAAUAGAGUGUUGGACAAAAUCAAAAGGUUGAAGCUAUAUACUUGCACUCUUUGAACACUCAUUUGUGUAUAAAUACAAAAAGACAUAAUAAAAAUUUAUUAAUUGUUUGUUUAUUGAAUUAUGUGUUUUGCAUAUGUACUAAAUUUUGAAACUUUUCCAGAAGCUUUUGGCAUGUCCUGGAUGUAAGUGUGAGCAUAAUUAGUUUAUUAAAAAUCAAACAAUUCUAUCCCAUUCUAUCUCUUUCUUCUGGUUUGAAAAAUUAUCUUCUCUCUUUCAAAUUUCAAGAACAAAAAACCAAGAAACAUUAAUUUAUUAUAAGUUUUAGAAAUAAUUAAUUGAAUAAAUUGUCUUUGCAAAUCUUUGGUAAUCUCGCUUGCCCCUUAUUCUUUCCAUUGACACUCCAUUAUCCUGUGAAUGGUAUGUGGGGUGUGUUCUCCAAUUAGCAUCUUACCGUUGUUUAUAUUUACUAGUUAAUAUUUUUAUUUUUUAAACAUUGCAUUGAAUUUUUUUUUUCCCUUUUUGCAUGUGUAGGUUGCCAAGGCAUUUAUUGAAUAUGGAAUAUGCAAUUUUACAUAUUAGGGUGGUUAAAUUUAUAAUGUUGAUAUUGGUAGACGAAUCUUUGUUCAUUUGAUAAUUGUGUUUACUGUUAGAUACUUUUUCUUUUUCUAGCUUCUCAAAUUUAUUCGAAAAAUAUUGUUGGUUAAAUUGUAUAUCACUAAGGAGCUUAUGAGUUUUUAGUUUAUCUUUAAUACUAGUGCCUCCAUUUUGUUAUUUAAUGCAAAAAAAAAAAAAGAAUAUUUUGAUACGUGAGGAUUAAUUUUGAGUAGCAAUGAAAAACUAUUUUAUGGACUUUUAAAAUUUUGAAUAUCUGGCUUUUUUUUUUUCACCGAAGUUGGUUAUAAAUAAUUCUCUUUCAAAUGGCAUCGCUACAAUACAGAGUUCCAUUCAUGGGGACAUAUUUACCAACAGAUAAAACAUACAUAAAGAUUUUAUUUGCAUUAAUUUCUGAAUUUGUAAGUAAUUUAUAUAAUCGUGACACGUAUUUGUCCAUCAAGAAACAAUGAAUCAAACAAUUAUAGAAACAAGUAUUCAAUACUAACAUUUUAACUUGUUUCAUAGUACAUCAAACAAACAGGUGGUGGGCAAAAGAAAAAUUUGGUGAAGGGUCUUUAUUCAUUCUACAAAUGUGUGAAGUAUGACAAUCCCUCGUCUUAAUUCACUUUGCAAAUCUAAAAGUAAUCAUGAUUUAAUGCUCAUUUUGCUUCCCAUUAACAACUUGGUUCCCCUACAAAAAACAAGCAACAAAGCAAGACACUUUAUUCAAAAAUGUAUUUUUUAUGUUAAAAACAUUCUUUAUUACAAACCCAACAAUGUGAAUUCGCUUAUUUAUCAGCUUGCCAUCACUGCAAUCAUUUCAAUGACAGUAUUUAUAUGUACUCAAAUAAAAUUGGACUUGAUGCAUGCAAACUUUACGAUGGGUUCACUGUAUUACUAAAUUUCCAGUUAUUUACAGACAAAGAUUUUUUCCUUUUAUACCCAGCAUUGGCUUAUUCUCUCCCCAACCUUUCGAUUUGAUGCAAAAAAUGUUUUUCUGGGAGAAUGGAGUUGUGAAUGGGAAGCAGAAUCAGUAUCAAAGGAGAUUAUCAAAGAUUCAUUUUUAGAGGGAAUGGAGUUAUGAAUGGGAAGAAGAAGGAGCAUCAAUUCAGGAUUACCAAAGACUUGCAAGGCACUUGAUUUAAUUAAUUAUUUUUAUAUCUUCUAAUAAAUUAACGUUUCUUGGAUUUUAUGUUCUUAAAAUUUGGAAGGGGGAAGAUAAAAUUUUCAAACCAGAGGAAAGAGAGAGAAUUGGAGAAAAUUGUUUAACUUUUAAUAAAUUAAUUUUCAGGUUUAAAAAAUUAUUGACACAUGAUAAAAAAUAAUUAGUUAGUGGUUCCACAUCAUGUGACCACAUGAAACAUCAAAUGUAUUAUAGAAUUUCUUUAAAAAAAAGAAAGAAAAUGUGGAAAUAGAAUGAGAGAAUAAAAAAGAAAAAGAAAGAAAGAACAAGAAGAAGAAGGUAUAGGAGAAAAAUAUGAAACUAGAGACUAGAGAGAGAAAUCUAUGCUACUAAAAGGAGAGAAAACUAUAACCAUGUCUAAAAAGUUUUUCAAAACACAUAAAUAUUUUAAAUUUUUACAGUACGCUCCCCAGUACUUUAAAAUAUUUUUAUUUUGUGCCUAUAUGACAAAAUCUUUUUGAAUGGAUUAAAUUUUAUCUUUUUAUUUAAAAAAAUUAUUUUAAAAAAUAAAAAUUAAUUAAAAGUAACAAAUGAAAAAAGAAUAAUAUUUUACCUUUUUCAUAUUUAUUAUCAUUAUCAUUAUUAUUCUUUUUUCAUUUUGUAAAAGUAUUAAAAAAAUAUAGAUAUAAAAAGAGAAAAAGAAAAUUUAAGAACAAAAUAAAAAUGCUACCAAAGUUUCACCAAACCACCUUCAUCAUACAACUCAGAAAUCUUCAAAUUCUUUGCUUAUUCACCAAACUCAAAAUAAUAAACAAAAUAAAGUAAAGUCAAUAUAUUGCUAAUAGUAGGGUUAAUUGAAGAUUAAAUAUUAUUCAUAAUCUACAAUUAAGUAAUCCCAAAUGUGAAAUUACAGCCAUGAGGCUCUUGACUGCCGAAGAAUAAGAACAGUGACCAAGCUCUCGGCAGCGCUAUGACAAGGCUUAACAAUGAAAAAGCCCUUCGGAAUCAUCGGUUGGCCGAAACAUCUAGGUAAAACUAGAGGUGGUAAAAUAAGAUGCAGAAAAGAUACUUAGAAUUUGCAGACGCACACCCUCGUCACGGUAGUCGUCUCGCUUAAAAUAAAAUUAAAUCAUCUGAGUUGAACCAGAGCUAGCCACAUCCACAUCCUACCCAUACUUCUUCUCUUUCCGACUGGCCUUUAAAUUUAAUCUCCAUUUGUUUAGUUUUAAUCCAGUUGUUGAAAUCAAUUAGAUCGUACCAAAUUGAAAAACAAAAGUGCGUAAUAAAAACAAAUCACAUAGAUUAGAGGGACAGCAGACACCACUCUUUCGAACCCAUUCCCAUGACGCCCAAACCCAAAAUCGAAAACCGCACACCUUCCAUCAUCUUAAUUUCUAUAACGCUAUUGUUGUUGUAAUACCCAAAUCUUUGUUUUUAGGGAAAAAAAGGGAAUUAUGAAAGGAGAAGGACCUUUAUGUGUCGAGAUUUUCUUUCUUUAGUAAUGAGGAUUAUUAAUCCAUAAUUAAGAUUCAUGGGGUAAUUUUUUAAAAGAUUUACAUUUUCUAAGGUUAAUAGGGUUUCUUAAAAUUCCCUAUAAAUUUAUACUUUUCCUUCUCUCAUAACCCUAAAUCCAUAACGUUUUCUAUGAUUCUCUUUGUUGCUCAAUACUCUUUUACUCAUAUCCUAGAAUUCAAAUUUUUACUUAGGAGAGAGAGAGUCAUCAUUGUUGGUAAGUUUUACUCUCUCUAUGCCCUACUUAAUUCCUUAUCGUUGUGCUUUAUUUAGGAUUUUAUUAGCAUGAUUUUGGAUUGUCAUAGACAAUUUAGGGCGUAUUUAAGUUGUGUUUAGUGCACUAAUAUAUUAUUGUAUCAUAUUAGUUUAUCACUAAUGCAGUAACACACCGAACAAUUCUAGUAUGAAUAUCCUGAAAUAGAACAUAUAUUUUAUAAAUUAGUUUUUAGAAGAACCUUAUCUUUUUUGUAAACUAGAUAUACAUGGUUUAUUGAAUUCAUAAGAUUUGACUUUAUUUUCAAUAUUAUAUAUAUUUUUUGAACUAACUCUAUUGCAUUGAAAAACAACGGUUUUAACAGAAUGACCAGAUUUACAAAAUUAUUUGUACCUUCAAAUGAACUUGAAAACUUCUGAAACUUUAGAUAGAGGUUAAUAUAUGUGUCUAGUAUUUCCAAUUUUAAUUUCAUAAUUUUUGGAUUAAUGUAUAAUUUUAUAAAAAUCUCAGAAUCCAUAUUGUUCAAUCAAGGCACUGUGAGACAGUUUUUGAAUUUAUCCAGAAACAAAUAGUCUUGAAAGUGUUUUUGGUGUCAAGUCCUCUUAAACAAUUUAUGAAAGAUAUCCAUGGAUUUCUAGAAUGGUUCGUAAAAUAUUGUGUUAUUAUGAUUUCUAGAUUAAAAGUUAAAAUUCUAAGAAUUAGACUUGUAAGGGUAUAAAUUAGAAAACUAAGUUCUCAAAAUGAGUUGUUAAUAGUUAUAUCUUAUAUUUGUUUAAGGUGUUGGAGAUAUUUGAGGCUAUUAGAGGCUUUGAGAUGUGUUUAGACCAUUACUUUUAUUGAAGUAAAUAACUUCAUUCCUAAUAUACUGGAUGUGUACAAUCAUUUUGAUACUAUUAUAAGUACGUGUGUUUUUAUAGUUCUUUUAAAAAUUUCUUUAAAAAAUCAAUUGAUUUUCAUAACAAGAUUAGUUUAUGUAAAUGCUUUCAAAUAUGAAAAUUAUGUUUUUUUUUUUUGUUUUAACAUAAUAUUAUAAAUAUAUUUUAAGUAUGUAAUUUAUUUUGUUAGAUAAUUAUCUUUUAUGAAAUUAUCUCUAAAAUAUCAUAAUGGAAUUUGUUUUGCAAGCCUAAUUCAUUGUUAUGAUUUUUUAUGAGUUUGAAAAGAAUGUUUUGAUCACGUAUAUGACAGAGAUUAUUUAUGAUUAUUUGGGAGCCACCUCUCGAGGGCCAGAGUGCCGCAAAGUGUCACAUAUAUUAUAAAGUGUCACGUGCAAAUCAUUACAUAUGAAAAAUGAAUUUAAAUAUUUUCACUCAUUGCACGUAGUUAUUUUGAUUUUAAUUCUGAUCGUAUUAUACGAUAUAUAUGUUGUGGACUAGUACUGAGUUUCUGUUCUGAAUGUGUACACGAUAUUCUAAUUCUGAUUCUAUUUUGGCUGGGUUACCGGGAGUAUAUGUGAUACUAUGUGAUAUGAGCUAACCUUUCUGUUUUCUGUAUAUCUGCUAUACGAUUUGCUCACGUGAUUAAUUAUGCUUUUGAUAUUCUGAAUUAUUAUGAAUUUAUGUCAUCUUGUUGUAAUAUGUCAUUUUAUGAAAUUUAUAAUUUAUAACAUACGUUUUGAUUAAAAAAAAGGCUUACAAUAUUUUUGGUACCUGAUAAACCUAGUGCGUUGGAAUUAGUUUUACUUACUGAGUUGAUCGCUCACCUCUUAUCAUUACUUUUUGCAAUUGAGUAGCUUAUUGAGAAAUGUGCUUAUCUUUGGAGCUAGAAAUUCAUUUAAUUUUGUUAGUUGAAUAAGAGGAGGAUGAACUUCUAUUUUCCUCAAGUUUGUCUAUUUAUGAACUUGUAUUUGGAGAGUUUUAAGACUUUUGUCAUAUCUAUUUCUGCGGCAGAAAAUAUUUAGUAUUAGACAUGUGGAUUCGUGGAUUUAUUUAAAUAAAAUUUAGGAUAUUUUAAUUUAAGAUUUUUGUGUAAGGAUCUUGAUUUGUGAGUAACCUCUUUUAUCAUUUGUUCUGCAUGUAUUAGAUUUGGGAUGUUACAAUUAAUGCAUCAAUUUGGAUAGGAUUUUGACAAAUUUGACUCAGGCUAUUGUUUCUUCAUUCCUCUUUCUCCUUCUUUUCCUAUUUUUUUUUUCCUUCAAAAUUCAUCAUUGCUGAAUGUAACUUUAAAAACCCACUUGCACAUUGCACAGACACACACAUUCGUCUAAUUCUACCUUCUUUUGUUAAUUUCAACAAAAUUUAAUGCUUACUGCUAAAUUUUAUUUUGCAUGUGACUUUCGCCCAAUAUUUUCAAUCUCCCAACAAUUAAUUGGUUGUUUUGGGUUUUGGAUUUUAUAGAUUCUGACUUCUGGGUUUUGGAUUUUAUUCUGUAGAAAUCAAGUUUUAGUUUUGAUUUAAUAUUGGAUUUGAAUGAUGAUUGUAAGGUUAUCGUAUACAUGAAAGGAAUGAAGAAAAAAUGAAGAAAAAGAUGAAAAAAGGAUGAGAAAAAAAAAUAAAUGAAAGAAAAAGACGAAGAAAAAUGAAAGAAAAAGAUGAACAUGACAUGUGUUGUAAUUUUGAAAUUUGAUUUUUAUGACAUGAUCGUGAUUUACUUAUAAUUUACUUAUCGUAUACAUAGUUGAAUUUUGAUUUUUACCCAAAAAAAAAAUUGAAAUGAUUUUGAAUAAACCACCAUGGAUGAUUCAAUUCUUGUACAGGUUUCGUAUCUGUUGCACUAGAUUUCUGAAAGGUUACUAAUGCAUGUUUUUAAGCGUUGUUUCCAUUAAGUAAGAACUAUGUUUUGGCAUGAUUUGAGUCAUUUUCAUAUUUUGUACUAGAUGGAGGAUCAUGACUUCUACUCUCACACAUUCUCCCCUCUCUCUGUGUCACCUUCAUACAACAAUGACUUUUUUAUUUUAAUCUAUUUUACUCUUUUUCUUUUUCUUUUUAAUAAAAAGGGAGGAGGUGGUGAUUGUAUCCAAGCAAACGAAAUGCAGCACGAGUGCCCCCACCUUAACUACUUUCACAGAUUCCCCCUCUCUCCGGCUGCCACCGUUGAUCCCUUGCCUCGUGAGUAUCGUAGCAUGGGGCCCAAGAGAGAUCCAGAAAAUCUGGGAGCCCAUGUGAUUUUGAAAUCAUCGCAUUAUUUAAUGCAGAUCUGAAAUUACGCCGAGUUUCACGGCUUUAGAAAAGUAAAUUGAAUCAUUAAUUUUUUCUUAAUCAAUGGCCAACAAUAGGGAGCGGGCUUUUCCCAUUUCCAUCAGGGCCUCUUUCUCUCUCUCCUCUAGCACCCGUGGAAGUUUCCCAUUGGCUGCUGUUACGUACAGAAGCUGUAACAUAGACUUCUCCGUGAUUCUGAUACGCUUGCGUUAAAAAAAAAAAAUCUGAAAGUCCUCAAUUUUCUUAGUUUUCCUUACAACCACUUACUGAAAGUCCUCAAUACCCACCUACCAACCGAAGAAAGUCACUCAAUACCCACCAACCGAAGAAAAUCCUCAAUUUUCUGUUGGCAAAUCUCUAAGAAAUCAGCCACCACCGUUAUCCUCCCCAUUAAUUUAAAAAAAAAAAAAAAAAGAGCAAAGCCAGCACAACGGAUGAAAUCGCCUCCGAUUCUUUUGUAUUGCCCAUCUCUCCGAACCUUUCAAUUCUAUUUUUGGGCAAUUUUGUUAAUUCUUUUGAAUUAAGCUUAUAGAAUUUGGAUAGAGAUGUUUUCGGAUAUUUAUUAAUUUUUUCCAUCACCUUUAAUUUUGUAAGUUUGACAUCAAUUAUUUUUGGCCUCCCUCUCACAAGCUAUUGAAGUUUUUUUCUGUCAGGUUUUUCGGUGAUAAUUAUUUGAUUAAUUGUGGCUUGCAGGUAAGAAUUAUUAUAAUUAUUUUCUGAUCUUGUUCCUAAUUCCUUGGAUUUUAAUUCACAAUUAAUUUUAUAACAAGUUAAAGAGACGUUAAUUAGGAUAGAUUCAUUUCCUUAAUAUGGGCUUUUCUACUUCAAUUUAAUUGUAUUUUAUUUUUUUUUAAUUGCUAUGCAGGAAAUCAAGAGCUUAGGAAGAAAAAAACAUGAUAUUCAACUUUCACAAAGGAUUCAGUUGCAAAAUCCACCCUGAUUCUAUCUUUUAUCAACACCAAAAUAUCAUUACAUUACCGCCAUGUAGCUAUUAUUUUGUGUUAUAAUACUUUUUUUUUUGGUUAUAAACAGAAGCUAUUUCGUGAGUUUGAGUUUUGACAUUUGAAUGGAAAAAUUUGACACAAUAAUUUUAAAUUAAUUAUAAAAUUAUAUGGUAUCAUAGUGUUAAAUAAAAGAGGGGUGCCAAUAUAUUUUUCUUAUAAAAAAUUAUUCUUAUAAAACCCCUCUUGUUAUACAUUUACAAUUUUAUCCCUUAAUAACUUGAAUUGUAUUAGUUGUAAAAUUUUAUCUUAUUAAAUCCAUAUAUGAUUUUUCUUACUGACUCUUUAUCUGCUAAAGCUCUUAAAAGUUACAAUUUUUUUUUUUUUGAAAAAAAAAGGUCAAUUGUAAAAGAGUAAGAAUUUGAUAUCAAUUAUUUUUUUCACUUAACAAUUUAUUUUUGUAGGAAAGAUAAUUUUAUAAAAUUUGCAUAAAUUACUAACGUUAUUAGAAUGUUAGGAGAUAACUAAAUUUUGUGUGUAUUUUAUACAUAUUUAUUUUGAAAUAGACUAUCAUUAACUGAAAAAUAUAGAACUAAAACAAAUAAAAACCUCAUAAUAAAUUAAGUGGGAGUGGUUGAAGAGUGGUAACUGAAAGGAGUUUGCGGGAAAAUGACGGAUAAAGGCUAUUUGCAGAAGAAAAUUACUCAGUCAUUGGAUCUCAAUAGAUCCAGUGGAUUCAAUGGCUGGAUGCAACGGUGGUACGGUACCAGUGUUGUACUGUAUCCGGACCAACGCAAAUUACGCCGGGUUUCAACGCUCGAGACCAGCGCAAAUUUCGCCGGUAUUAGUGAGAUGUUUUUACAAUGCUCAAUUAUAUAACGACGUUUUAUCAAAAAAAAAAAAAUUAUAUAACGACGUUUCUCACUAGCUUUGAUUAUAACGACUUUGCUAGUUUCGGUUCCAAAUGGGGUUCCUACCCGUGUGCAUCGUGGCGGCCAUGUUUUUUGCGGCGAACUUUGGUGCAGAUUGUAGACCGGAAAAUGGAAAUGCCAAAACAAGAGGGCUCCGCCAGCUGUAUUUCGAAGGUAAUUUCAAGGUACGAGUCCUCGAAGAAAUUGAUGCAGACCGUAAUCUGAAGGCCACUUUUGGUGGGGCCAGCAAGAAUAGGAAACUUAAGUUUUUAUCUCCAAUUUGUGAUGCAGUCUAUUGUUAUACUCUUCCGCCGCCGCGUCGCCCACCCGUAAAUAGCCCGCCAAUUCGUAAUUGCAAAUUAUAUGUGAAUACAACCUGCCACCUAAAGUAUUUCUUUUUAAUAAGUACUUUGGUUUGUUUAGUGUCUUUGUUUUGAGUUGUUUUUCAGAGCCAACAAGGGCAUAUAUUUGGUUAAUAUGAUGAAUAUAUGUGAGGUUUGUAUGCUGGUGAUUGGUUCUUCUGCUGAGUAUUUGUAGUUUGGUUUAUUUGUUAAUAUAAAUGAGGGUUUUAUGCCGCUGCUAGCUUCUGCUGCUGUGCAUCUGUAUUUUGGUUUGUUUAGCAUCUCUGUUUUGAGUUGUUUUUUACGGUGGGCCACCAUGAAUCAUGUUACGUUGCAGUUCUCUGAGAACGAAGGAAAGGAGCUAAAUAUCUUCCAUAACAAUACUGUGAUUUACUUUUAAAUACUGUGAUAAGUGUAAAUUGAGGACACUUGGCUAUGUCCAAUUAUUAGUAACUCUUUUGUAUACAGAUUUGAAAUUUAUGGCAGCCCAAACAUAAUUUGGCCCCGAUAAACUACAUUAAUCUAUAAAAAAAUUCCUUUGCAAAGAAAUGAAUGUUGAGUCAAAUAAUUUAAAAAAGGCAUUAUGAGGAAACAAAUGAGGUUAAGUUGAUCAGUAAAUGUGCAGCAUAACAUUAAUAGGAUUGUGCAUCAUGCAACCGGAAAUGGAGUAACGGGUUAAAAAAAUUAUAUAAAUGAAGUUCUUGAAAAAGGAUGGAGUUAAAAGAAAAAACCGAACGUAAGGCAUUAAGUUGACAUGAAACAAUGUUGAAGCAAAAGAAAAAACAUUAUCACAAGUAUAUCUGCAAUACAAAAGUAGAAGAUUACUACAUAUCAUUGUAUUAAAGUUGUUCCAACAAAAGACUGUAACAUAAUACUCGAUAAUAUGAUAAAAUAUGCAAUAAGGUCCAUAAAUAAGACAGCUGAGCUAUAACAAAAUACCGGUGGCUACAAAGUUUUGUUACCCAUACAAUGGAAAACAAAACUUGAUUCAAAAUGCCCACAUUGCAUACCAUUAAAAUUAGACCACCUUUCCAUACAAAUACCCAACAAGAGUUUAAUGUGGUCAUGCUUCUGCCAACCAUAUACUUGUGCUAAUAGUCAGACAAUUUGAUCCUUUAACAUAGACACAACUAUCUUGUGCCUGAGAAUAGGGCCAUCAUGAGGACCAAAAUUAAAAGGAAAUCCACUGCAUAAGUACUCAAUUAUCUUGAGCACAAAUACACCACAGUCCCCAGAACCAGGUUGCUGUUGGGGUACGCCGGUAGUCACCCUAACGACGUCGUAAGGAUCAGUGGAAACACAGAGCAUUGGACAGUCUCUGUGGAAUCCUGGGCAAGCAAUCAGCAAUCGAGGCAACAAUUCUCUCAAGCAGCUAGUCCAUUUAAUUAUUUGUUCAGUUGGUAUAAGUUCUGUUUGAGGAUCAUCGAUCGUAAUUCGCCUUUCGGCAAAACUGAUUUCUGCUGUAACCCAAUGUGCACCACCUAAGUUGAUGGGCAUAUAUACCUUGAAAGGGAAAUUUGUAAACAUUACAUUAGUUGAUUAUAAUCAAUACAUUGUAUGAUAGAGUAUGAGAGACAUGCAUAAGUAUGCCUUCUUCUAGAAAUCAGUACAUAAGUUUGAUGAGAUAUUGUAAUACACAGGCAAUAUACAUAAGGAUAUAAUGUCUGAUUAAAUGAACAAACUGUUAAAUAUUUUAUAAUGAGGAAAAUUUUACUUAUCCUCUCAAUUUUAAACUGAAACAAAUAUCUUCGUAUUCACUAGAUAAAUAAGGUCAUAUAAACAUCAGCCUUAGGAGUGAAAUUGAGUGAAAAUGCCACAGAAUCAGUUCAGAAUACUGUUGAAAAGUGAAUAUAAAUAGUUUGUUAUUAACUUGCAUUAAAUUUUUCCUAAUGUCUGUAUACUCUCCCUGUUAUUGUGUUAAUACGACAAGAAGCAUAUUGUGCAACCUUUUUAUCAAUUGCAUAUUAAAUGACAACGAUGUUUGUGCACAUAUAAGAACAAAGUCCAUUCAUUAUAAUGAUAACAUUAUGAUGGAUGUGGACCAAAUGACAGCGCAAAUAUGAAAAUUGGCUAUAGAGAUUACUUGCCUGGUCAACAGACGACCAAGGUCUCUCCCCCAUCAUGAAUCUAUUAAUUAGACAAUGAUCAAACUGCACCUUGUGGAUCAUUUUGCGUGAUGUUUCCAUCUCCGUCCAGAUCCCAGAAACAUUUACCUACAAUGUUAUAGCGCCCAAUUAUUUACCAUCAACACAAUCACAUGUUUCAUGGGAUGUGUACAUAACAAUAUAUAUAUAUAUAUUGUCAGAACUAUUUAAAAAUGAUGAACCACGUCCCCAAAAUAAAUUAAUACUAUUGUCAAGUAUUGUAAUCUAUGAUUUUGCUGAUAUUCCUUUAAAAACUCAACACUCGAAUACCCUUUCAGUAAUCAUGUAAAUAUUCGAGUUAUGUACUUUACAUUAGUGAGCUAACUGAAUUUGUCCUUGCCUAAUGAUCGUCUGGAGUUCUCAAAUCUCUAAUUUUUGUAAGCCGUAUACAAUAUCAAGUUGUGUAGUCUUGGUAUCUUAAUGAUGCAUUUUAGUUCGUUUUAAUACAAUGAAUAAAUAAUUUAAUUACGAGGAAUGUAUUUAAGAAACAUAUAUAAUUUAACUUGUUUAGUAAAUUGUAGUAUUAGUAGAAUAUAGUUAAAAGUUAAAGUUGUACUCUAUUUAUCGCACACAUGUUUGUAAUCUGUCUAUAUAAUGCAUAUAACAUAAACUUGUUCACAAUUAUCAAAGUUUUCCAAAUUACAUUUAUGCCGCGAAGGUCAUGGUCAAUAAAACCAUAAUACAAAGUAAAGUAGAAUGAUAAUGUCAUAGUAUAAAUUCAAUUAUUUUAACAAAAAGAAAUUCAUUACCCCAAAUUCAGUAUCAAUGCAAGUGCACCUCUUUUCCUACCAAACUGUGGAGUUGAUCAGCCGCUGCUUAACGAGCCUAAGGUAAACACUCUCUGUGCUGAAAUUUAACAAAAUGACAUUUGUUAUAUUUAGUAAGCUCUCUUGUGUACGUUAUAAACGAGCAAAAGAGAUAAUUUACAACUUACAUCAUUGUUCAGCCAAUCACCCUGGACCACUGAUUGAAACCAAUUAGAAUCAACGAAAAGCACUUCUUCAUAGAAAUUUCUCACACUUAGCCCUUCAAACUGAAUGUCUAUCAAGUUUUGGUAUUCAGCUUUGGCCUCAGCUUCUAUUAAGUGCAGUUCUUCUACUUUUGUUGUCACAGCUGGCAGAACUCCUGUGCAAGGGCCUGUAAUAUUAACUGGUACUGGCAAGCGGUGCCUGAUUUGUACAGCCCCAUCAGCUUGCUGAAAUCUACUUCUCUUGUGCAAUCCCCUGGUUCGCCGAAUGGCUGCUGCUGAUGAAACUGAAAACAGUUGGGCCCUUGCAUCACUACUAUCAUAUUCCAACUGCACCCCCUGUUUUUCAAUUGCCAAAGUUGUUGUUGGUUGUUAGACAUAUUAGUACAAACUGCUGGGUAUAAUAUGAUUUUCAUCGUGCAAUAAUAACAUCAAACUAUCUUGGUCUGCACACGCUGAUUUGGUCAAUUUAAGCUGUCGUGUAACAAUUAUUGUUAAUGCCUGGAACAUCACUAGCAUGAUGUGUACAUGCUGUCUGUUACCUAUCGUAGGAGAACAUAACUUAUUAUUAUAUUUGACCGUGGAUUAUCUAAGGACUACAGGAUAAUAUACUAUAAUUAUACUUAAUUACUAAUUCGUUGAAACACUUAUAUUAUCCUUGAAUUAAUGAUAAUAAAUGCCUUUAGUCUCUCUAAUGCCACCCAAAUUUCAGCUUAUCCCAUACCUGAUUAUCAGCAUUACUGUCAGUGGGAGCUUCUUCAUUCUCCCAUAAUAUUUCCCUUUGCUCUCUAAGCUCUUCCAUCAGUAUUUUGUAAUGAAUUUCCAGCUCUUCAGCUAUAUUAUUCCUUAGUCGCUUAAUACCUGUCAUUAUGUCAAUCUUCAAUUGUGAGGUUGCUGCAGCCACCAUAUUUGAUAAGAUCUUAGUCAGUCGUCCUUGUCGUAGCACAGUGCUAUCUUCAUUAUCCUGUAAUCAAUAAAGUUGUAAUCAUAUUUUCGAUCUUAUACUGCAUAUAAACGUGGAUAUUUUUGUAACAAAUAAAAGAAGUUAGGGUUGUGGUCUUCAGCAUUCUACUCAUUUCCAGUGAAGUAAAGAACAACAAUUGGUCAAUUCUCUAGUAAACAAAAUGGUAAAAUUAAUUAAGGCCUACAUUUGAUCUUCUACUCAUGUAAAUCAUAUUCUUUUGUUGCAAUAAUAAAUUAUAGAGAUGUUAGAGCGUCUUCUUUGUGGGUACGUUAUUAACAGUCGUAUGCUUAUAUUUUUCCUUCAUACCAAAAUAUAUUACCAUGGCUGUUACAAUAUAAGCUGUUGAUUAUGAAUACUAUCAUCAAUCGAUCUUUAUUUUUGUUUGGAGCAAUGUUGCUGUUUAGUAAAAGAAGCAACUGAAUAAUAUUAUAGACUUGUCAGUGGUUCUAUGACCCUAUGCUUUAAAACAGACUCUAUUUCCUGAUAUACAUGGUUGGUAUUAUGCGUGUCUAUAUCCUUAUGUUAUGAAGAGAGAUUGACGGAAUAACUCCAAUUUCCAUCUACUAUAUAUUCAGGCUCAAUGAAAUGUAAAACGGAAUACAUGGGAUUUCCAGUAUACUUACAACAACAGCUGAUGUUGCCUGUACCGUAUUUUGUCCUUCCCCAUUCUUGGAAUAGUUGCCAUCAACCAUCUGGACCAGUUGUGCAGGCCCAUUAAUUUCGAUCACACUCUUGUAGUAGCUGCAAUCUUUCUCUUUAUGCGAUGCCUCUAAUGUAACCGGUACAGCAGACAAUCGGUUGCUUCUUGUUGACAUAAGAUGCAAUCUAUUUGUUGCAUCAUCUGGCUGAGUCCGUGCAGUCCAUCGAAGAUUCGGGGAACAAGAUCUUCAUCCAGCUCCCGUCCAUAUAAGUGGCCUAGUAUAUUUACACAUUCGUAUAUCCAUAGCUGCAACAUGAAGCCAAUACAUUGAUUAAUGCGACUGUGUUUAAAACAAAAAAAAUAAUAAACAAUAAAAAGGUUACCUAGAAACAAUGUGACCCCAUGAGUCAUAAUAUUAUGUCUAAUCCACCUUAUUUUCCCCUAUUAUGGUUGUUUGUCCAUUAUUCAUACACAUGAAAGUUAAGUAGUUCUAUAUAUGUCGUUUUGCAAACACUAUUAAACCACAACAUUGAAAUCAUUUAUGGACAAUUUCCUAAUGAUCUGAAGCAACCGUUACACAUCAAUAAUAUAACUACAAACAUUACACAAUUAAAAUAUGACAUGAGCAUAUUAUAUCGUGGUCUAUCACCUGUUCCUUGGUAAUGCAUAUGAUUCUGAAUUACUUCAAUGUUUGCAGCCCAAAACUAUGUAUAAAAAAUCUAUAUGAGGCCCUUGUAGUCUUAUCUAAUAUGCAAAUUGGUGGUUCAUGAACUAUGUAAUGCACUUCAUUCAUAUAUUACCAUUAAACUAUGACUUCCGAAGUUUAUUUCAACCCAAAUAUAUACACUAUUAUAUUUAGUAAAUUACCGUCUGCAAAUGGAAAUUAAUAGCCUUGCACAAAUUGGAGUGGCAUGGGUAAUAUCUUUACUUUAUUAAUAAUUUACAAAACCAUCAAAAUAAUUAAUUAAUUCACAAGCUAUCAUCACUAUAUACACUAACACGUUAUAUAUGCGACUUCAUAACGACAAAUUUAGUUAAGCAACCCUGUUUCUCCAUCGAUUGUCGUUUGCUAUUUGUUAACAUGGUCCAGUUUAAAGAAUAGAUUAUACCUGAGCUGCAAACGCAAACCCUCUCAAGACAAAAGUGUGAUUGGCUGGUCUUAACAUAGUCGUUUUGCAGCGUACGUUUUGGGUAGCCCAUGAAUUCAUGAUCAAUACAAUCGAAUCAUAUGUGGGCUCCCAUACUAAUAAGCCCCAUGGAUAGUUAUUAAACAUUCCAAUAUCCUGUGCAAGUCGAAGCCACUCUGUGUCGAUUAUCGCUUCAUCUGGUAGUCCGAGCAAUGUCCUAUGCAAGAACAACACCAUUGCAAACCUUACUGCAAUUUCAUCUUUCUCAGCAGACCAAUCUAUUGUGCUGAAUUCGUCUUCAAACUCCACCAAAGUGACAGGUCUGUCCAUUCCCAAGUUAGUCCAAUCUGGAACAGUCGGGAGAAACUUGUCAAAGCUAUUUUCAUUAUCCUCCCUCGGUCCCAUCUUCAAUCCAGUUAUGAGUGCAAACUCUGUUUUAGAAAACCUACAUGGUCUUCCCCCCAGAAGAUACCACAACUGAUCCUCGACAUUUUCAGUAUACAACUCGCGAACAAGCACGUUGUGAAUCAAUUUUCCCUGAAAUGUUAAAUCUGUUGGUAGUUGGAGGAAAUGGCCAAAGCAAGUUGCACGAAACAUUGUUGUUUGUCGUGGAGUAAGAUUUCUUCUAAUCAUUUCAAUAAUUCUGAGUUUCGAGCUACACUCGACCGCUGCAGGUGGCAAAACAGGUGGGGGAAUCUUGUACUUUAACCAAAUCUUUGGUUCUCUCCAUGUUAGCCUCCCCUUCAUUCUCAGAUUUGCUUGAACUGUCAAAUUUGACAAGAACAUCACUUACAAUAAAUCCCUGACUAUGGAAAGAAUAAUUUAUUGCAGUUUCAAUUUAUACAUAAUUUUUUAUCCACUUGAAUGUACUAAAUAAAUACAUCAAAUUUAUUUCACCAUUCUCAGCAAUAUUUUAAACUGUCUAAUAUUGACAAUCAUUUGCAGUUUUUUAAUGUUACCUCACUUACCAAAAAAUAAAAAAUGUCACCUAUAUUUUGUCAUAAGCAUUUUUUUCGUGCUGCUUAUCAUUCCAGCAUUUGUUUGAAGUUUUUUACAGUUAUAUCAAGUCAAAUGAGUUAUGCUCCCUAAUGUAGCCCCCCAAGCUGAGAAUUCUUUUCUAUCAGUUCAUUAAGGAAAUUGCCAAUGUAAAACCAGUAAUUUCAGAAAAUAUUGGAUAAUAAUUCCAGUAAUUGCUAAUAAAAAUUUUAAUAUACUAAAUUCAUAUAGUUGUUGUGCUUACUUUCACUUUGCUAUACGUAAUUACCUCUAUUUACUCUUCUAAAGAAAUAGCAUGAUAUAUCACAUUAAGACAUUCAUGUUAUCAGUGGCCGAACAAAAAAUUUCAGUUUGUAGUUGAGGAUGUACCUUGUGCCAUUUAACUCUGUGAAUCGCUGGGCCAAAAUCACCUUAUAAAUAGAAAUUUGAUUUCAAACAUUCACCAUUUUGUCUCUAUUGUCCUUGGCCUUUAUAUAGUCUUUACAUUUCUUUGCGCCCAAGGAUGUUGGCAAACUAGUCGCCAUUGUUUCUGUCAGAAUGCUUUACGCUCAGCAACUGUUCAUUUUCUCACUCCCACUUCCACGAGUUUGCUUUUAAAUGUUUAUUUUAUUUUUACUUCUUCUUCAAGUAAUAAUUAACUGAAGGGAUGCUGCUGUAUCUGAUUUGUUAAGUUCAACACGCAACCAACAUAACCUGUGCCCUGUCUCCUUUCACCCUUCUGACAGACUUAUGGCCCAAGUUUGAGGAAAUUUUCCCUGCGGCCCAAAUCGUAAGAGGCUUUACACUUCUUCUUCAAGAAAGAGUUCCACCUCUGUUCAUCCCUGGCAUUUUGUUUCUUGGAUCAGAAGGCGUGCAUUUUUCACUUAAUAAUUGCGUAAUGCUUAAAAACACCCAAAACAGAAUGGCGUUAAUCUUUUUUACUUCAACUUUGACGCACCGGUAGUAAUUAAAGGCCAUGCCUUGCGGCCCAUGCCUUAUUUAUUGGCUGCUUCCAAUGUUUAUGGCCCAUCCAAAAGAACAUUCAAUUUUUUUACAUCUCCGCAGGUCCCUUACGUUAAAAUUAUGUAGCCAUUCAUCCCCUUCAUACCCCCCAAUUACUCUGAUGAUAACUAUUUUAAAUUACACCUUUUUUAAUAUAACAUGAAAAGAAAUUUACUAUCUUUUGAAACGCAAUUAAAUGCUUCUCUCUGCAUAUGCGAGGGGAAGAGCUAAAUAUCAUUAUAGCAACCACAUAUUUGUUGAUAACUCGCCAUGUUAUGUUCUAUGCUUCAUAUCAGUAUCCGUUUAAUUAUUACAAUAGAUGCCUAAUUUUUAGGUAUUUUAAGGAAAUUUCAUACAAAUAAAAUGCGGUAUUGUAUAACUACACAUUUACAAGGGCUGUUAACAGGUGCACUCCCAAUUUUCUCCUCCCAUCCACGUCUGAUUGUUCCCCCCCAACACCCCACCACCCCACCCCCCCCCCCACUGUGGAUUUUUGACAUACUUUGUGAAGGAUGUAAUCCAUGUUCUAACUACUACAUGUACCAUGCAGCCACACAACUCAACCUUUACAAAUUCUCAAACCACACAUAUGGGUGAAACUUAUUUUUUCGAUUUUGACACUAACAGAUUUUCUGUCUAUGUACAUGAUUAAGUUGAUUUAAUUUUAUUACCUAUUACGGUUAACAGAUAAUCUUACCCUACAUCACUUAAUUGUCUGCAAUGAAGCACAACGGGACUCAUUUGAUCACGAAAUCCAACUCAGAUUUUCUUAAGUCAUCUAACAUUUUCCAUUGUUGUAGUUGUUGCAGGUCCCGCAAUAUUUCCUGUCGUGAUUAAAACAGAGCUGUAAUGUUCAGAUACAUACAUGUUGUCUGUGUGAGAGGGAUGCAACUAUAUGCCAUUGUCAUCUUCCUUUGCAACCGCGUAUUUAUCCCAAGGAUGUCAUAGCAUCUCCGGAAACUUUUCGACUGGGUUCCUAUACAUUGGUAUUCCCAUUAUGCAGCAUCCUGGCCAGCCGCCUAAACCUGUGACCUUAUGACUAACACCAGCCUCCCCAUCUUGUGCCUCCCCCAAACUGAUUGAUUAUUAUUUUUUCACUAUCAUCUUGCUCCUUCAUGCCCACCUGUAGUGCAAAGCAUUACGCAUGAUUCAUUGAACUGCAUCAAUUAUCACACUAGAUAAUCAACCUAAAAUAAUAAAAAAAAAAACAAUUACGUGAUGUGAAGUCCAUGACCAGUAAACUUUUACAUCAAUCACAUUUAGUUAGGCCCGUAUCCGAUUAUUGGUUAAUCUGUACUUAUUAUGUAUUUAACAGUUGUUUCUGGCCAAAACGAAUAACAUAAAUUAAAACCAUAUGAUGAUACUAAAAAAACUUCCAUGAUCGCCACAAUCAAUUUUGACAAUCUGAGUCAUAAUCUCCGCAUGCACACUUUAUAUUAUAUACUAGGCUAUUGUCUCAAAUGUUCAUAUAUGCUAUAUAGCCUUUUACACAUUGACGAAAAAUAUAAACACUUCAAAUUUUUUUAAUCUCUUUCGCACCGCAAUAUUUAUUAUUUUAUCAUGUGCCUUUACUAUACGUUCGUCAAAAUGGAAAUAUUCACAGAUCAAUAAAUUAACACGAUACUAAUAACCUGAUUACCUCGCAUAAAAGGAUAAAUUUACCAUUGCAAAUUUGUAUUCACCCCGCAUAAUUCCUGUAACGAAUGUGUGAUUAACGUUUCCAAAUAACAAAAUUUCGCCGAUCUUCAUGGCCUACAGCACUGGCUAUCGUUUCUGAUAUGAGUAAUUAAGCUGAUAUUUCUAGAAUGGUAGAGUUCAUUCUUUGACAACCGAAUAUUAGGUUUUAGGGAUUUUGUUCCCAUGUUGUCUAAGCAAGGGGGUCUCUGCAUUGGGAUUUCGUUCUGCUGAAUAUGGGGUAGGUUGCUGCUGGACUUUUUUACUGGGCCGCCAUUAAAAAAUCCAUAGAAUUCCUAUGCCUUAUAAACAUAGUGCAUGUUACUUUGUUAUUAUAAUGGGAUUAUACUAAUUUUCAUGUUAAAUAAUAUAUUUUAUUUGUGCUUAUUUUGCUUAGAUUGUAUUAGGGAAGUCAAUAUUUAAAUUUUGUCCUUAUUUCAGCUUACUCCUAACAUUCCCAUUUAAUAAGUGGGGAACUUCGGUGGAUGAGGUAGUGAAAAAGAAUAUUUAUUCAUAUUCAUUUCAUAGAUGACAAUAUUUAUCUUUGCUAACCUAAAUUUUAAUUAAUUUAUUAAUUAGUGAACAUUAUUUCUUUACUUCAGUUUAUUUAUUAUUUUCAAUUUUUAGUCUCAAUAAAUUUGCACUCUUUCUCCGAUAAAUUUAACUAUUUAUUAAAUUUUUACUAAAAUUGAUUAUAUUACAUUUAUUAAUUUCCUUUGUAAUAAAAAAAAAUUUAUUGCCGAUUAAUAAAAACAUUUAAUAAUAACUUAAAUAUCAACAUUAUUUGCUAACUUUUUUAUAAAUUUAAAAAUAUAUAUAAUUUAUGAUAAAAUGAAGUAAUUUGUUACUUUAUUUUAUUAAAUUAUGUUUUUUUAAAUAGUUACUUCCCAUUAAUGUAGCGUUUACAUUUUUUAUUGGAGUGAGAUUUCUAUAAUUACGAGUGUGGAUUGGCAUAAACAAUAGGUUGAUUACUUACAUUGAACUGGGAGUAUCCAAUUAUCUUGGAUUUGAAGUACAUGGUUAUAAAUUACAGUUGUACCCUUAUUUUAAGAAUUACAACUUGUAGAGUUUUUAUCAUUUCACAAAUUAACAAAUUGGAAAAUAUCAAAUGACUACAAGAAGUAUUGUCCUAUAUCAUUUUCCUACUAUAUCAUAACAAAAUAUCAUUUUACUACUUUUCCAUUACAAAACUAUCAAUUUACUACUUUUAUGUUACUUGACCAGUUUGUUGACCAACAAAUUACCAAUUUUACACUUCAUUAUUUACAAAAAUUACUUCAAGCUUAUUUAUAAAAGGGAAAUUUACAACCGUCCACCUGUUUGUUUUAUCUUUUUCAAAAAUACACAAACACUUUUUUUUUUCAGCGCGCCACCUGAAGUUUACUUUUUGUUGCAUUCUUCCACUUCCGUCUAAUUUCCGUUAGCAAAUUUAACGGAAUGACCUUUUUACCCCUCAAAAUUACAAUUUAACCCAAAAUAAAUAGAAAUUGGAGAUAAAUUGGAUGGAUUUAAUUUUUUUCAAAGGUGGAUGCUAGAAAUUGGAGGAAAAUAAUGUUUGUUGCUUGCUAAAUUUAGAAAAUUUGUAUUUAUUUUUUGGAGGAAAAUAGUGUUUCAAAAAAAUAAAUACAAAUUUUCUAAAUUUAGCAAGCAACAAACACUAUUUUCCUCCAAUUUCUAGCAUCACCUUUGAAAAAAAUUAAAUCCAUCCAAUUUAUCUCCAAUUUCCAUUUAUUUUGGGUUAAAUUGUAAUUUUGAAGGGUAAAAAAGUCAUUUCGUUAACAUUCCGUUAAAUCCACUAACAGAAAUUAGAAGGAAGUGGAAGAAUGCAACAAAAAGCAAACUUCAGGUGGCGCGCUGAAAAAAAAAGUGUUUGUAUAUUUUUGAAAAAGGCAAAACAAACAAGUGGACGAGUGUAAAUUUCCCUUUAUAAAAUUGACUCUUCCACUUUUAUUCUAAGUUUCAUUUCCAACAUUAGGAUAUCAAAAUGGAAUAAUUAAUUAGAUAAAUUUGUAUUCCAUAUUGAAAUAAUUCCAGUUACUUAGCAUUCUGUUGGAUUAUUAUUUAAUUUUAUAAAUGUCACUAAUUUGUCUUAUUAAUUAAUCCAUUUUUUUUUAUCUUUUUCUUGGAAAUUAAACUUGGAAUAAAUGUGGAAGAGUUGGUUUUGUAAUUAAGCUUCAAGUAAAAUUUUUUCGUUAAGGGUAAAAUUGGUAGUUUGUUAGUCAUCUAACUGGUUAACUUACGGUUGUAACGGAAAUGUUGUACAAUGGAGAGCCUCUAAAUUAUAAUCAUUGUCACUUACUCCUCUCAUGUGAACCACAAAAAAUUGUGGGACCCACAAUUUGUGUGGUUUACCUGAGAGGUAUAGGUUACAUUCAUUGUAACUUAGCAUUUGCCAAGGGCAAAGCUUAUGUUACAAACAAUCAAUAAAUAUAGGUAAUUGAUUUUGACAUUUCUUAAAUCCUAUGGAUGAGAACUAUUUUAACGUAAAACUAAGUUUAGGUGUGAUAGUAAUUUCUGAAAUAUUUUAUUUUUCAUCACAUAUUUACUUGUUUUGAAAUAAGUCCUCAUUGAUUUUGUAUAAUUAAAUAGUUUUGUUGUCCAUCUCUUCUACAUCUAUUUAUAAACUUUAUAAAGUUUUUACCAUAUUUUUAAAAAUAUCUCACUGAUUAUGAUAUUCAUAAAUAUUCUACAAUUUUGAAUGUAUUUUUGCACCUGUAUUUAUAAUUUUUUGUCUCUCUUCAGAUAUAGAAAAUUUUUUUCUUCUAAUGCACACACACAUAUAUUCAAUCUAUUUUUUCAUCCUAAAAGCAUACCAUCAAUUUUGUCACAUAGAUUUUGUAAUCUACAUUUAGUAUCCUAAAUUGUAAGAGAUAUUAAAUGCGAUAAAUAUGUUAUGAAUUUAAUAAAUUAUUACAAAGAUGGUACAUUGAGUUAAUUGCUAGAACCUAUAAUAAUUUCACAUAACAUAAAAAUCAAUAAAUAUGGAGAAAUUAUCGAUUUUAUUGAAUGUCACUAUAUUUAUUUAAUAAAUCAAGAUUUGCAGGCUGCGAUGGAUGAACUACCUGAGGUUAGAUAUAAAACAUGGGAACUAUGCCAAGGAAGAAGAAACCAAAAGGAAAUGACUACACCAAGGAAGAACUACACAAUUAUUGAAACGACUACGUUUCAUGGAAGCAAAAAGGCAAAAAAAAAAAAAAAAGAAACCAAAACGGCGUCAUUUUGGUUUAAUUCGGGUUUGACCUGGGGAAAGUAACAUUUUCCAUAAUUAUUGUAAGUUCCAUAUGACCACAGUGGCCACUUAUACAUCAAUUAUUUCAUGUUUCAAAUAUUUGUUCAAACAUUUCACAAUAGUUAUUUGUGUUUGUAUGUUAUAUUUAAAAUUAGGAAAUGAGGUAGAGCGAGAGCACACAUCAUGAUUGUAUUUUUUUUACCAAACUUUGUUUUCCGAAUCAAUCUUCACUUCGAAUAUGGGGGCAGAGACUAUUUGCAUCGAAAUAAAUUUAUUUCCAGUAUGUCUGCAACUUUGUGCUGGAUAAGCGAUUAUAUAUAAAUGUUAUGUUGCUACAUUGCAAAUUUCUUAAUUUAGUUUCCGCAUAUCACUCAUUAUACAGAUGCUAAGGGCUGUG
rnacentral:lncRNA from 1 species